CCUUUGGCAGCGAGGGCCAUCUAAUAAAUCGGAGAAGAUUGUGGUACCUCGCAAAUGGUCUUGGGCUGCAACUGAUUUUAUGGCGUCUUUAUCCUGCUUGCGUUAACAUCUUGUUUAUCUGGGAAUUGUAAAUAUCAUGUCAUGUUGUAUAUUUCCCAUUGGAAAGAAGGGAAGGAAACAAAGAUGUUGGCGAUACGACGGCAUCUCCGAUGACAAGUUUUCUGCUUUUACGAAGCGUAGAUAGGUGCACAGAACUUAUACAGGAUUUGUAAUCAAUUAAAGAUUGGAUGCGCUUGAGAUUCGCAAUGGAAGGGCGCAUUUUGUUUACUUUUUAUUUGUUUGAUAUGGGACCAUGUUUGGUAAAUUCAAGUGUUUUUUUUUUUAUUAAUGACGUGUCGAUGAGCGCUUGUAUCGUAUUGAAAAUAUUGCAUGGACAAAGGUUCGGUGAUGCAGGAGCAAAUUCGACAUAUAGGAGAGGUUUAGUCACAGCCUGCUGCCUGGACACCUUGGUCUGCUCCCCUCGGUCGCUGAAAAUAGUUUUCGUGAUACCGCUGGUCACAAGCACCAAUACGAAGAAAAUUAACUCUUGUUUGAGAACUCUUGAGUUCAAAUGAUAUCAAGGUUUCUUUCGACAAAAAAAUUAAAAAAAAAAAAGAUAAUAAAAAGGCUGAACUUAAUCCUAAUCUGACCCUAAUUACAGUCCCAUAAUCACCGUGCCACUGCUUGAUCUCGCCCCCACAAAGCCGUAGCCGUUGCUCCAUAUCGACACCUCCAUCAGCACGUCCCUGUCAUCGCCAUCCCCAUCUCCACUUGAUCAUUCGGCCGUCAGGAUGAUUUCGCUGUUUCACAUCUAUCAAUCACGGCCCCUCUUUCUGGUUUCUGUCGAUCUCUGAAAUUAAGAGCUUGAUAGUGGAGUUUUACUAUGUUUCAAUCCACUGUAAAAAAUUUUGACAAUUAAGGCACCCUUUACUCCUAGCGUUUAAAAUCAACCCUUAAAUUUCUUCAAUUUGUUGGAUAUUCUCACACCAUGAAGUAAUCAAAGAUGCUCUAUUCUCAGAUCAUGUCUAAAAGCAAUUCUCAGAGCACAAAAUACCCUACUAUUGCUUUUAUUGUACAUGAAGGUGUAUUCCAAGUUGGAAGUGAAGAUUGCAUAUGAAGAAACAUCCCUUCCGGCAUUAUGUCAACUCACUUGAACCUUAGAAUUGGUGCGUCAAGAAUUAGAUUGUAAUGCCUCAAAUAUGGCUAUAAAUCAACCCUGCAAAGUUUGACAGGAUGGCUGAUUCAUUUUGAAAUGAUGGCGAGAGGACUUUUUUUUUUUAUUUUUUUGGUAGGAAGAAAAUUUAUUCAUUUAAGUAGAUACUCUGAAGUGUCCCAAACAAGGUGAAUCUAAACAUAAGAGAGCCCAUAGGGCUUGCGGGGGAACAUAAAACCAAUUCUGUGGAAGAGAACCAAGAUACUUGUGUUUAGCAAUCCAAUCUUCCACUACAUUUGAGGCCCGCAGACAAUGGGCAACGCUGAUUGAGGGGUGGGCCUUGAGAAAUUGAAGACGGUCAUUGAUUAGGAGACGUUCUUCCCAUCUGAACUGAUCUACAGCCCCACUUAUCAAGGUUUCAACUAAAUCCACGCGAUUAGAUUCUAUAGUUAUCAGAUUUGGAGAGCUCCAAGUACGACUGGGGUUUUAGCUUGAGAUGCCGAGGAGACCUUCACUGAUUUAGCAGUAACAAUCGCUCCCUUGUAAUCUCGACAUAUACCAGUUAUGGCGCCAUCCACAGAACCAUCAACAGAGGAAGCAUCAACAUUAAUUUUCAGAGCUUUGUUCCUAGGUGGCGCCCGGGCCUUCAACUCAGCAAAGGUAGGAUUUUUCCUCGAUUCCGAUUUUUGCGAGUUCCAUUUUCUGUAGUUUGCUUGCAAGAAUAACGAUGAUUCAACCGUUUCUUGUGAGUUUAGAUGUUUGCCCUGAAAAAUGAAAUUGUUUUGGGCUUUCCAAAUGCUCCAUAAAGAGGACGCCACCAAAGACACGGGAAAAAUCAGCCCCUUCUACGGCAAAUUCCAUUAGCCAUGCCUUAAUCCUCGUGAUCUUCUUGUAGUUGGUUUGGAUCUUCAUAUUACUGUCAGCCCAGAUACCUUGAGUCGAGGGGCAAAGUAUAAAGAUGAGCUCGAUCUUCUCCUUUUCCCGUUGAUAGAGGGGGCAUAUCGGGUCAGGUAUGAUAUUCCUCUUCCAUAGGUUCUCUUUUUAGGGGAUUGCAUUUUUACAAAGAGACCAUAGGAAAACUUUACCUUAUGGAAGGCCUGCAUGUCCCAUAUAGCUUUCCAAAGUGUUUUGGGAUUUUGGUAUGAAGAGGAAGCUUGUUUAGGAUUGCGCUUCUGUUCAAUCUCUUUUCUGAUCAUGUUGUAGACGUUUUUAACAGCAUAGCUACCUGAUUUGGUUCCUAACCACACCAAUUUAUCCUACGCAUAGUAUGCUCUAACGGGGAUUGUUUGAAUCUCCUGCACUAAUUGCUCAUCAGAAAGAUCCUCUAGCUUUCAAGUAUUCCAUUUUCCUUCCUCAGCCAAGAUCAGUUUUGCCACCAAAACUGGGUCAUUUCUGUUUGGUGAUCCCCCAAUUAAGCCACUUUUUAACCAUUUCUGCUCUCUGAUUAUUACUGAUUUACCAUUCCCAAUGGACCAACUAACUGAGUUGGCAAUAGGAUCCCUCCCUAAUAACAAACUUUGCUGUCCCCAAGAAGGCUUGGAACCUCUUUUAGCUUGCCAAAAAUCUCCUUGAUGAAAGUAAAUGCCUUUUAAGAACUUGUUCCAGAGAGACUUAGGAUUCUAUGCGAGUCUCCAUGCUUGUUUACCAAGCAUGGCCUUAUUAACUGAUAUAAGAUCUCUAAACCCCAUGGCCCCUUGGUCCUUCCUCAGCUUCAGAAUGUCCCAUUUUUUCCAAUGAAGUAUUGUUUUGAAAUCUGUUGUUUUCCACCAGAAAUUGGCAAUCCUUCCCUCAAUUGCUUUGCAAACUGAAAUAGGUAUUUUGAAAAUCGACAUAGCAUAGUUUGGAAGGGCUUGUGCCACUGUUUUAAGAAGAAUCUCCUUUCCAGCUUUAAAAAAUAAUUAUUCCUUCCAACCUUCUAAAUUAGCAUUUACUCUUCCAAGAAUCCAAGCAAACAUAUUUCUCUUUAACAUGCCCUAGUCCGAAGGAAUACCUAAGUAUUUGCCUGUGUGGCCAAUCUCAACUCCUUUGCCAUGUUUCUUGUUAGUAGAUGAGGACGCCCCUUGCUAAAAUAAAUGCUUGACUUGUUUAAGUUUAUGGCUUGGCCUGAUGCAUAACAAUAUUGAUUAAGUAUCGUCGAAAUAUUCUGGCAUUCCGUUAUGGUUCCAUCUAAGAAAAAAAUCGAAUCAUUAGCAACCAAAGGGGGUGAUAGUGUCAGAUUGAAUCUGUUCAGUUUGAUAUCCUUAAUAAUUCUAUUUGCCACUGCUUUAUUUAUCAUGAAAGAUAAAUAGUUAGCCACAAGAAUAAAAAGGUAUAGUGAGAGAGGAUCUCCUUGCCUAAUGCCUCUUGAGGGAUUAAAAAAUGGGAGGGAUUCCCCAUUAAACUUUACACUGAAUGAGACAGUUGUCACACACUACAUAACCCAAGUGAUUCACUUGUCUUCAAAACCCAUUUUGAUCAUACAAGCUUUUAGAAAAUCCCACUCUACUCGAUAAUAGGCUUUUUGCAUAUCUAAUUUUAAAACCGCUUCAAAUUUCUUUUGUCGAUUAUUGGUUCUCAACUAAUGCAGGACCUCUUGUACAAUAAAAAUGUUGUCUUGUAUUGGCCGACCACACACAAAGGCAAGGCACUUUGUUCUUCAACAAUCAAAUCAGUAGCCACAUCUUCAGUCUAUUGGCUAAAAUCUUUGAAAUAAUCUUAUAAAUAAAAUUGCAUAGGUUGAUUGGGUGGUAUUCUUCCAGCUUUUCUGGGUCAGGAUCUUUGGAACAAGAGUUAUAUGGGUUCUGUUUAGCCUUGGGUCGAGAAUUCCUGUUGCAAAGAAAGACUGGACAGUGGUGAGCACAUCCCUUUUUAUAAUAUCCCUAUGGUGUUUAAAGAAUAUACCAUUCAGCCCAUUUGGUCCAGGUGCUUUAGUUGCUCCAAGCUGAUAACUGCCUUCCGAACUUCUCCAUAGUCACUUCAGCAGUAAGUUUUUCAUUUACUUCAGUUUUGACUAAACAUGGGAAGUGGUCGAUUACCAGGAUAAUAUUUCUUGGCCCAACUGAGGAAAACAAGUUUUGAAAAUAUUAUGUUGUUCGCUGCUUCGACAUUUUUUCAUCCCUAAUCUACUUAUCAUCAGGCCCUUUCAGUAUGGUCAUUCUAUUUCUAUUGCGGCGCUGAAUUGUAAUAGUGUCUUGUCCUCCCACUUAUACCAAUUGACUCUUGAUCUUAAUCCUUAGUACAUCUCUUCUCUCCUCCAAAUAUCCUUCAACUCUCGUUUAAUACUUUGCAUUUUAUUCUUUUCAAAGGAAGAGUUUGAACUAUUUGUAAUUACUUGAAGUUCCUGGUUUAGCUCCUUUAUCAUACGAGAAUUGUUGGUAAAUUUCUGUUUACUCCAUAACUGUAAUUCCUUAGUCACCCUUCCUAAUUUCACCACUAUUUUCUCAUCUCCAUCAUCAUCCAUAUUCCAGGCUUUGGAUACAACAUCUAGACAUUCAGGAUCUUCCACCCAGAAAGCUUCAAAUUUGAAAUCCUUACCUUUUUUCGCUGGCUAAUUCACUAUAGAAAGCAGUAAAGGGCUAUGGUCAUAUCCCACCGUUGGUAGAGCAUAGGCCUCCGCUGCAGGGAAUGUAAGACUCACUAUAAAUUGCAAACCACUCGAUCUAGUUUUUCCUUCACAUAAUCAGCUCCUUCCCUAUUGUUUACACAUGUAUAAGCACGCCCCUUGCAAACUACUUCCAUCAAAGAGCAGUCAUUUAGACAAUCCCGAAAAGCAACUAACGAUAAUUCUCUGCCAUUCGUUUUCCUUCCCACAGAAGGCUAUCAAACCUGCUUACUUGCCUUAAUCUAUCCCAAAUAAGUAGUCUGUCUUUAAAAUCAUUUGGGGCAUGAACAAAAGAAAUCCGCAUUCUGACCUUAUCAGCAGGAACAGUAAAUAAGACGUUAAUCAUCUCUGUUGAUGCCUAUUCAACAUCAAACGAUAUGUCAUCAUUCUACAAAACAGCAAGUCCCCCUGUAAUACCGAUCGGUUUCACAGCAAAACAGAAAUUAAAUUUUAAUCUUCAUGGCCGAUGAUAGUACCAUUAUACACUUGGUCGCCUUACUGGCUUUGCCCUACUGUUCACGAAUGCUUGUCAAGCAAACGACUGUAAUGUUUGGACUUUAGGACAUGUUGAAUAGAUCAUAUUUACAUUUUCUUGUCCUCAAAUAUAGGUAGAAGACUAACUCGUCUUUUCCUGUUCUAGGAGGAUAAAAUGGAGAAAGAUUCAGAGAAUGAAAAAAGGAAAAUGACUGAUCGAUUGUUCCAUAGGCAUAGUACAACGUAUCUGCAAGCCCUUGUGAUUUUUUCAAGAGAGAAGUCUUCGGAGGCAGACAGGAUAAGUACAUUGUCGUGCAUAAUGAUGCAGACAUGGUGUCAGGAAAAACUGAGUGGAUCUCUAUGCAUUAUGUUUAAGGGAAUAAAAGCUAAAUCGAUGGCUCCAAGGGAAUACUUGCACUCUUCUUCAUAAACUCAAGUGCAUUGUGGUCGAGGGAUAGGUUUCCUGGACAUAGGAAUGCUGUUUGCAUAUGGAAUCUACUCUGCUUUGAGGAUUUGCUAACUGUCCAUCCGUUGAGAGGUAAGUCAUUCCCUUUGUGAGCAUCAGAUCGCUUGCCACAUUUGAUACAUUUAUCUCAGUAAAGGAAUGAUUCUACCAAUUUUUUUCAAAUAACUGACGGGUGUAAAAAACCAAGAGGAGAAAUGAAGAAAAAAACAAGCACAAGUAGGCAAUUUAACAGUGAUCAUUAAAUCAAUCUAGCACGAGCUCCUCCAAAAUCUGUCCAGAUAACAAACACGUGCAAUGCUUGGUCCUAGCAUUACACUGUCACGGAUGACUAGAUAUAAUAGGAGAAAGCAUUUGUCUUUCCGUUGCCAAUGUUUAUGAGGUGGACAAAACUUAUGGUAGAAGAGACUAAUUAGAUGAUACCCGCAAGCAAUUCUACUUUCUUCUAGGAGGAAAUUUUAGUGGCAGAAGCAAAGGGCACAGACUACUGACUAUGUCAUCUCAAUUCUCAAGAGUUUGUUCAACUAAUUUUAGUUCCACCUUCACUUUGCCGGCACUGCGUCUGACCUCUUCUGGUAGCGCCGCUCUCCAGAUUUGGCUGUCGAUGGCCCAACGCAUUCAAGGCUGCUGUUAGCAUAUAGUUCGUCCUUGGCUGUCAUUAGCGGAGUUCAUCAUUGGCGUCACCCGACUUCGCUCAUCUGUUUUUAUUUGCUUGAGCUCGCAGUUGAUGGCCAUUGGGAUAUCGAGCUCGCUGUCAAGGCUUGCAGCCACGGAUGAGCCACCUCACGAGCCAUGGACGAGCAAGGCUUGUGGAUGAGCCAACAUAUUUGUGCAUGCGGUCAUGGUCAUGUUGGGAGGUUAGAAAUGAUCCUUCUUUUUCCUUUUUGUAUGAACUCCAUGUGGUUGUAUGUGGUCGGGCCUCAAACUCAAUCUAUGCGAGAAUUUCCCCUCCUGCGAUGCUUUUCCGUUUGGAUAUCUUAAUUCUGGAAAAAUUUUGCUUUCCGCUCCUACACUUUCACGAAUUUUUUUUUAAUCAACUUUUAAUUUUUCUAACCAAAUUUUUCCAUUUGCACAAAUUAAUUAAUCAAUUAUUCCAAUGCCAAAUUUGGGGAUGCGACUGUUAGACAACAUUAGAGCGUGAUGUGGGCAUAUUUUGUCAAUGUUGAUGAAUUCUUUUCUUUUCUUUUCCUUUUUUCCAUGGUAGCAUCUAUGUCAACAAAAUGUCCUGAUGUUGUUAGACGAUUAUAGCGGCUAAGUUUGGCCAAAUAUGGCGUUGGAAGAUCUUCAUUGACUAUUUGUGCAAGUAGAAGGUUUUUUGUUAGAAAAAUAGAAGUACCAGGAUUUGAUUAGAAAAAGCAUAGAAGCAGGGGACGAAAACUGUUUUUUUUUUUUUUUUUCUUUUUUUACUUCUAAUUAAUGACUAUUUCAUUGGAACGCUCUGUUUUUAUUUCAAGAUGGAGCAAACAUUUUUAUUUCGAUAGAGCUGUAUUUAGCUCUACAAGAUCAUGUAAAUGGACCACUUGUCCUGAAUAUUUACCUACCACUCAUAACAUGUCACUCUCCUUGAAUAUCGUCAUAUUGCUUCGUUAGGCAUUGCGUAGUUGCCUGAAUAUGUAUUUACUACUCAUAAACCUGUCACUUCUCUUGGAACUGUACUAACGAAGGAAGAGAAUUCUGCUUGAUUCAUCGCAUUGGUUGGGCCAAGCUUGAUAAAUACAAGAAUUAUUGGGCCUUAUAAGUAAGAAAAAAGCUCAUGGAGCACACUAACUUGUGGAUAAGCCCACUAUAAUAAGCCCCGUGACCUCAUUCUACAUUAUACAAAUGUCCUUUGGCAACGUAUGCCUUCUCUAUCUUUAUCCUCUCCUUCUGCCAAAACGAGAGGCUAAAGAUAAACGUCCGACCACUUCUUUUUUUAUUGGCAGUGCGAAUUCUUCAAAGCAUUCGGGUCUGUUACUGUCCAGUUGCGGAUCCGCACAAUUCGUGCAUCAACAAAGCUUAGUCCCACUAAUUAAAUUUUAUCAUACUGAUCUACUCUUCUUAAUAUUUUCUUCACAUAUCAAAUUAUGCAAUAGGGCAUGCCAUAUAAUGAAGAACUUGAAACAAAGACUUAUUUAUGUUGACACUUGCAUCAUCGGGUGAACUUCUAUCCAAUGACACCAACAACUUAGAAUUUGAAUGGAUCUGAAUUUAUAACUUAACUACGAAAUUUCAAUAAAGUUUUGUAUUCUGGUUUAUCGGAUAUUGGGAGCACACACGUAGCUCCUAUCUCUCUCUAUUAGAGUGCGUUUGGCAACGAUUUGGCUCCUAAGAACAAUUUUUGAUUAAAAAUGAUUUUUUUUAUUAUAUUUCCGGCAACAAUUUUUGAGCAAAAGAGCGUAUUUGGUAACUGCAUAAAAUUUUUAUUCUUAGGAUAGAAAUGUGUUUGGUAGGAUUGUAAAAUUUUUUUAUUAGGUUCGACGAGGCUCGACGUCGCCUAGGCGGCACGAGGUCGGCCUCGCCCUAGCCUGGCAAGGCCUAACCGGCAAGGUCACUAGCCCUCAUCUAGCCAGUCACCGGUCAUGGCCGAGGCCGUCGACUGGCCAAAAGGAAGAAGAAGAAAAUGAAAGAGAAGAAGAGAAGAAAAUAGAAAAAAAAAAAAAUUAGACUUGAUUUUAAGCAUUAUUCUCGGAAUCAAGAUGCAACUUUUCUUUACUUUUUGAUUUUAUUCCAAAUCCAUUUUUAAUGAACAAAAAAAUUUUAUUUUUGUUCUCGGAAAUAAAAGAUUUACCGAACGGAAUUUUGUUUUUUGUUUUUUUUAUUCCUGGAAAUACAAGAGUGGAAUCAGUUGUUCACGGAAUGUUAUCAAACAGCCCUUAGUUGCUCCACUCACUCCGUAUUUUGUUCUUCCCUUUUCCUCUCUUGCUUUCCGCGCUAGUCUCUCUCCCUUAUUUUAUUCUCUUCUUUACGCUCCCCUCUCUUUUUCCUACUCUCUCUCGUUUGCUUUCCGCGCUAGUCCCACAUGUUCCCCUCCUUUUGACUAAACUCUCUCCUUCCUUUUUCCUCCUUUUUUUCCUCCUCUUUUCCCCAUUGAUGUUGUGACGAAGUUUCUUAUGUUUGCAGUAAAGACUUAGCAUCAAAGGAAACGAGCUGCUGUAGCAUAAAGUUGAUUCUAAUUUGGGAUUGACCUUAAGUUCUAAAUGGCAAAUUCAGUUUACCAAAACGUGACUUGGGGUGCUUGGCCCUUAGUAGCUAGUCCUCCAUACUCUUUGCUAUCUCCAUUAUCUCAUCUUUAUCAGCAUUUUUCAGCAAUUAGCUUUGCCAUCCAAUACCUAGGUCAAACCUUGGUUAUUAAUAGCACACCCAUCCCACUCCACCGCCCAAGCUGUUUCUCCCGUUAAACUUCUCAAUUUCUAUUUUUGUUCCACACAAAAUUAGAAUAACAGAAUUUCUAGACGACGAUUAGACAAACGAAAGCUCCAAAUCAAAACUCGAUAGAUCCUAAUCUUAACUUUGAUGUUAAUUGUUGUAAAAUUAAAGUGGAAGCCAAUUGGGUCUUGCCUUUAAAUCAAUGUGAGAAAAUGAAAUAACCCAAUAAAUCAAUAAGGAAAAAUAACGAUUAUAAGAAAUUUAUGCGGUUCGAUCUGAAUUUUAUUCCAUAAAGAGAGUGAGUUGCAAAUGAUCCACUUCACAUGUUCAAGUUCUUCCCAAUAUUAGAUGACAUUUAAACCUGCGGUAUUUUGGCCUAACGGGGAGUUAACUCAUAGCUUGAAACGCCCGUCUCCAUAAAAAAAAAUGGCCACACCUUUUUUUUUUUCCUCAAGAGUAUAUAUGGCCCCUUCUUUUGUACGGCCGAAAGAAAUCCCACCUCUGUGCGCAAUAUAAACAAAAGUCUCCAAGUAGUCAAAAAACUUACAUACUUCUCUCCAAUUGAAAGCAAAAUCAAGUUUCGCCAAAUUUAAACAAAUGAAAAUCCUCCAAAUGGGUCGGUUUCUGUACCCAACUUAAAAUGACGAAGCGCAUGCAGCUUCCUCUCUCUUUCCCUCAAUUGCUCCGCUCCCUCUAUUUUCUUAUUCCCUUUUCCUCUCUUGCUUUGUGACGCUCAUUCUCUCCCCCUUACUUUCUUCUCGUCUUUACGUCUCCGUCUUUUUUCCCUGUCUUUCCUUUGUCUUCUUAUGCCCUCAUUUUCUUCUUCCGUGUCCCACAUGUUCCCCUCCUUUUGACUAAGCUCUCCCCUCUCUCUCCUUUUCCCUGUUUCUCAAUGAUUAGACCUCGUGUCGACGUUGUGACGAAGUCUCUUGAGUUUGCGGAACGACUUAGCAUUGAAGGGCACAAACUAUUGCAGUAAAAAGUCAUUCUGAUUUGGGAAAGGCCUUAAGUUCUAACUGGCAGGUUCAGUUUAGACAAACGCGAAUUGGUGUGCUUGGCCUUCAGUAACAAGUCCUGCAACUGUCUUGGAUAUUUAGGCAGUUACUAUUUAUCUUGUGGUUGUUGCUCAAGGAGUUUACUAGUAAUAUCUGUUGUACUCAGCUGCCAAUAAUAAUUUGCUUGAUUUUAUGUAAAGUUGGUGCUUUAUUAUGGAAUUAGGCCUAAAAAAAUUAUGCUUGGGAAUAUUUUUUGUGCUUGACAGGGACUUGAGUCUUGUCUGAACGGGGACGUUUCGAGGGCCGUCUUUUUUUCUUUUUUUUUUUAAAUUUAAGCAUCGGAGGUUGAUCCAGGAACGUCCAUUCUCGCUUUCGGGUGAGGGGUCAUUUCAAGGAAGCAGCUUCGAUGGAUUCCUUGAAAUCAGUACGUGCACUCACAUGAUUUCUACUUUUUAACACAAUCGAAGGCACAGCUCCAAGUCAAGCAAACACCAAAGGGAGACGAGAGACCUUUUGUGAGGGAAACCCACAAUAACAUGGAAACAACCGGGGGCUGCGGCGUCCGCUUCGAAUUCUCCAGCAAGGCAAAUUGCCGAUGGCAAUUAGGUGAUCAAUUUUUCAAAUUUACGAGAGUGAGUGAAAAAUAAGUUACGAACUUAUACUAUAUUUGUCCCAACAUGCCGAUGAGCACUUGUAUUGUAUGAUUGUACUGACAAGUGACAACAAUCAGGUUCAGUGUACACUCAGACAUCUAGGAGGGAAGGCUCUUGGGAACAAUAGUGGUGCUUUUUUUUUUUUUUUUUCAUUCUUGUUUAAUUUAGAAUUUUUUUUUUGCGCAAUGUUUAUAAGAGAGGUUUUGCUACAGCUUGCUGCCUGGACACCUUAUUACUUGAAAAUGGUGUUCGUCAUCCACUGGUCACAAACACCAAUAUGAAGACCUAAUUGCACUUAGAGAAAAGAAAAAGGCUCAACUUAGUAGCCACCGCCUCGUCAUCGCCCCCACAAGGCCGUAGGCACGUCCCUAUCGUCGCAAUCCCCAUCUCCAUCUGAUUAUUCGUCCAUCACCAUAAUUUCUCUCUUUUGCAUCUAUCAAUCGCGGCCCCUGUUUCUGAUUUCUGUCGAUCUCUGGAAUUAAGAGCUCGCGGUGUUUUACUAUGUUUUAAUCCACAUUAAAAUUUGAGGUGAGAAAUAGGAUUCUAACUAUCGAAGCUUCCUUUUCUCCUAGCAUUCGAAAUCAACUCUUAAUUUUCUUCAAUUUGUUGGAUAUUCCCACACCAUGAGGUAAUCGAACAUGCUCUAUUCUCACAUCAUGUCUAAAAGCAAUUCUCAAAGCACAAAAUAUGCUGCUAGUGCCUCUAUUGCAAACGAAACCUGUGUUCCAUUCCAAGUUUGAUUUGAACAUCACAAUAAAUCAAACCCUGCAAAGUUUGACUCGAUGACCGACUCAUUUUGAAAUGAGGGCAAGAGGACAUUGACGAAUGAACAAGACUAGAAGAAACUUCUGCUUUGUUUAAGUACCAAAUGGCACGUACAUAAUGAGGGAAUUGUGCAUCAAAAUCACAGAGGCCAGUCAGGUGAGAAGCAAGCAAUAAAACAGCAGUUGCUUAAGCAGAAAACAAAAAAUGACUGAAUAAACGAGGAUUUAUGACAAUUGCAUUGCUGCAAAUCAUUGAGCUCAAUUGUGCAGGCAAAGAGGCUAUUUUGCAUUCCAUAUACUCGUUGUAUAUGAGGAUGUAAACUCUUUGCGAAAAAAAAAAAAAAAAAAAGUUACACUGCGCGUUCCUCUUCCUCGGUGGGUAAAAGGAGAACUCCACCUUUUAUCUUUGCUUUUUUGAGUCCAUUUUUCUUCCCACGACAGACCUACCGACCCCACAAGUGAAAAUAUAUAAAAGACCAAAAGAAGACCCUCCUUCAUACAAAAUAUGAACAGACAGGCUAAGUUGCCAAACCGGUUAAAUUUAGAUAAUCGUCUCCAACAUAAAACAAAAUUAAUUUCCCCCACCCAAGAAAUCCAAAUUUGACUUGGACCAAAGCGCGUACCGAACUCCAACAAAUCAAAAUCCUUCAACCGGGUCGGUUUCAUACGCAGUUCAAACAGACAAAGCGCCCAUGUAGCUCUCUCUCUCUGUCUCUCUGUCUCUCUCUCUCUCUCUAAGCUGCUCCGCUCACUAUUUUCUUCUUCCCUUUUCCUCUCUUGCUUUCGGGCGCCCAUUCUCUCCCUUAUUCUGUUCUAUUCUUUCCGACGUGUCCGUCUCCCUCUCUCUUUUAUCUCUCUCCUUUGUCUCCUUAUGCCUCAUUUUCUUCUUCUUUGUCCCACAUGUUCCCCUCUUUUUGACUAUACUCUUCCAUUUCUCUCCCUCCUUUUUCUUUUCCUCAUUAGACAGUGAUUAGCGAACGAAGUUGCAGUCCAAUUUCUCCAUCAGCUUCAUUUUUUAAUCUUUUCUGAGGGCUAGUUGACACAGGUUAAGUUGAAAUAGAUGCUAUUGUUUUAGCAAUGUCUAGAGAUGGCGGCAACUUGUAGAAAUUCAUGAGGGUGGUGGCGUACCGUUCACAUGUUUGUCAUAAGCGAUUAGGCUUGAUGAAUGGACUAUAUUACAAUUCCAUGACUUUGGUCAAUUAUGUUGUUGUAUAAAAUUGCAUCAUAAGCAAAUGGUGUUCUCUUUUUCUGUUUCCUAAAUAGAAACACUUUUGUUAACAUGCGUGAUGCACUAGCUCUAAUUACAAAUUGGAAAGAAAAUGAGAUAUGAUAGUAUGUUGGACAUUGGAGUUCAUAAGGAUGUCAGUUUACAAGAUACAUGUUUCAAUAUUGAAGAAAUAAACUUACGUAUAAUAAUAAAGAGUAGAUAGCAAAGAUAAAAUGAAAUACAUUUUAGGACGAAUAUGAAUUGCAAUUUUUCUGUAUGAAACAUAUAUGCAAGAUUAUUUCUUAACGUAGUGUGAGAAGAAUCGGUACUACUAAGAGAAUAGUUCACAAAGUUAGGAGAAUUAUAGAGUAUAAUCAAUCGCAUGCUUAAGUGCUUCCCCAUAGUAAAUUAUACCUAAAACACUAAGAAUUAGUUCACAAAUCAAAAUACUUAAGUCACACCACAAAGAAAACGGAGGAUGGGAACUCUUUGCGAGGGGAAAAAAGAAAAGAAAAGAUCAUUGUGUGUUUCUCUUCCUCCGCGGGCUAAAAAAAGAACUCCAUCUUUUUCUUUUCCUUUUGCGCGGCUCUGCAGUUGAGGGGGAUGAGAAAAAUAAAACCCACCGGCUUUUCAUUUUUCUUCCUCCCACAAACCUACCGACCCUACAAGUACAUUUAAAAGACCAAAGGAUGCACCUCCUCUAUGCACAAUAUAAAUAGAGAGUCCAAAAAGUCAAACCGGUCAAAACUUAGAUAACCGUCUCUAACAAAGAAACAAAAUCAAGUAUCCAAAUUUGAUUAGAGUGUAGUGGAUAAUUUUUCAAGGGGCAGAAGUGCCGAUUUGGUAUAAACUGGUCGAGACUUAACAGGACCGUGGGACGCAGGUCAAAUCAGCACAAGAACCUGUUGGUAUAGGAACAGUAUACCCUCGGAUCAAAGCGCCACAUCAAAUUGGAACAAAUUAAAUUCCUUUCUCACCAAGCCAAAAAAAAAAAAACAGAGCCAAAUUCACCAAUUCUUAUACAUAAGUAGGGCCAUUUUAGCUAGUGAUAGUUAUAUGAGUGAAUUUGAUAUAAUUUAAGUUUGAUAUCCAUAAUUUGGACCGCAUCUGAAAGGUUCAACAUAAUUAUACUCUUUUCCCCCACCAUUGACUCAUCCUUUAUUGACAUCUUUCAUUGUUUCUGGCUACUUAGUCUUGCCAUUCAACACCUUAGACAAUCUUGGUUGUUGAUGGUGUAAGUAUCCUAACACUCUACAAUUCAAAGUUGUUUGUUCCGUUAAACUUUUCAAAUCUAUUUUUGCUCCAAUAUAAUUGCACCAAUAGUGUUUCUAGAGAUCGGUCAAACAAGCAAUAGCAUCAAAGCAAUUCCAGAAAAUCCUUUGUAAAAUAAUUCAGUAGUUAACAAAUUUUUGCAAUUAAUCAAAGCGAGAGAAUGAAACCACAGGAGAAAUCAACAAGCAACAAUAAAGAACACAAAAUGAUUUAUGUAUUUCGGUCCGAUGAUCCAUACUUAUUUCUUUGGAAGAGCCAACCGCAAAUAAUCUAUUACUUAAUUGGAGAAUUAUAGAGUUACAAUCUCUCCACAUACUUAAGAAUUUCCUAAUCCUAGAUUACACAAAAUCUUAUAGUAUUUAGUCUCACGCAAUUGUUCAAUAUAUAAAUCAUUAAAAAUUACCUCACGAAUUGAAACACUUAUGUAUCCACACAAAAAAAAAAAAAAUGCCUCAAUUAGAUGUCGAAUUUUCUGCACAAAUCACUGUGUUUCUUGCUCCUCUUAAAGACAGGAACUUUACUGUGUGGCCUUUUAGCUCUAUCUCUUGUGCAAAAUAGAGUCCUUCACUUUAUGCCUCAGUUAGGUCAAACCUUGGAUGUAUAUGUAAAAUCACCGCCCUUGGAUAUCUUCUUAACCAAAUCUUGGAUUAUAUAUCCAACAGAAAACCAAAUUAUAAUCGAAGGGCAGGCCAAAUCAAAGUCUAAAGACUUUUAACUUUAAGACUCAUAUCGAAACAUAAUUUGACAUUUUCCUCCACAAACCACAUUUUCAGAUGUUUCCAAGUGUUCGUGCUCGGUUAUAUAAACAAAAGGUGACCAAUUCAAGUGACGGAGAGGUGAAUAAAUCUACAAUGGCGAUCGAAUUCGGGAAUCUUGUGAAAUUGCGAGAAGCGUUGGAGUUUACUCAACGACGACGGGCGGUGAUGGGGUCUUUGCUCAACGGCGCACCCUUAUUUUAUUAUCGUCUUUACGCUCGCUCUUCUUUUCCCUUCUCUUUCUCUCCUUUGUUUUCUUGUGCCCUCAAUUUCUUCUCCCUUGUCCCACAUGUUCCCCUCCUUUUUUAAAAGGGUCAGGCUUUUCCCGCUCCUCAUUUGGCUUGUACAAGUCAUUCCACUGUGUUCUGACCAUAUUACCCCUUGCUUUUUCAAAUGUUAGCAUGCUCAAACGUGGUGCCCAUUGUUGUCCCUCUUUUUUAUUUGUUUCGUCUUCUACUUCCACUUUCUCCUCCUUCUUAGUCCGCCCAAGCACAGUCAAUUUAAGUUCUUUGUUUUGUUCUGCGUUUUUUUUUUUUUUCGUCUCUUUAGAAUUCUGGCAAUUCUUGUGCACCCCUAACUUAGACGAGAAAAAUCAUACUGAACGCCCAUUCCAUUAAUAACAUGACUUGGAGAAUCACUACGCCAAUCUUGCACAUUAUUAGUCGUUGGAGCCACCAAACAUUGAGUUUGCGCAUCAAAGCUGAAGCUGGACAAGUUGCUUGAGUAAUCAUUGACGGUGUCGGAGGUGUGGAGGAUCUAGGCCGGUUAGCGAACUCGGAGGUGUACUGGUGGUAGUGGGUGGGGGAAGAUGGAUGGCUUGGAAUGGGAGUCCACGCAGAUGAUUGCAGGUCUUCGCCGUUUUGAUUAGACGAACAUUGGACAUAUAGAAGAAGAAAAAGAAGCAAAGCGAGAGAGCGACGUCGUUUUAAAGUAUCUGGAAUUGGCGGAGCGGAACAAAAAAUUGGGAAAAAGAGAAAAAGAGGACUGGCUAGGUGGAUGACGAAAUGGACGGCGUGUCUUUUUAUGGGUGCCCAUAUCAAUGGGAAAUGUUGAAUCUUUUUUUUUUUUUUGUUAAUAAGUAAUUGAUUAAAUGAACUAAUUAAUUUAAUAAAAAAUGAUUAGUUUAUUUUCCCCUCCUUUCAAGCAAUGUUGGACGGACGAACUUACCUCAAAAUUGAUAUGCUCACGCAUGUGAAGACUGAUGUCAUAUUCACAAGGAUGAUGUCAUCCACGUCCAACGAUAUAAGUAUAAUUAUUAUGUAAUCACAUAAGAUUACAUAUAAUUGGAUAAGUACACUGGUGGGCAAAUGUUUGUUGAACCUAAAUAUGUAUGUGGAUGUGAAACGAAACUUUUAGGAUAAGAUCUUUACCAAAAAAAAAUUAGGAUAAGAUUAUUUUUAGCAAUCAAACUCUUAGUGAAUGUUUGAAGUUGGUCGUCAAAUUUCAACUUUUGUUCAAAUUGAUCCUAGUACUCUUUUAGGUGGUCUCCAACUCUCCAUGGUCAAGUAAUUUUAAUUGGUCUUCCCAAAGAAAAGCGUACGUGGCAGCAUUUCUUUUUUUGUUUUUUCCUGAUGGAGAAUGCAAGAAAGCCGAUCUUUGCAAUUAGAAGGUGACUUUUUGAGCUAUUUAUAGGUCUACAAGUACAUGUCAUCUUUAGAGACAAUACUUACAAGUGUCCAUGUACACAUAUAUAAAAAAUUUCUUCAGUAAUCCAUAGAUUUAGAACCUUUAGAAGAAAGAAUGUUACUUAAAAAAAUAAAUAAGCUAGGCAGAACUUAUUUAUAUUUUCUAUUGCGUAUAUAUUUUCUCAAUUUAACUUUAAUUUACAUGUGAAACAAAAAAAAAAGGAAAUUUGCUCCAGAAUCCAAUUUUUUGCAUUUUUUGUACUGCUAAUUUCCUUAUAACAUGUCUUUAGAUUAAUACAAUCAAGACAAAAACAUAGUUACAAGUUUACUUUUGCCAUAUUUUCGGAAUCAUGAGUAUAGUAUUAUGAUGUAUUUUCUUCCUCUUAUCAGUAUUUCAACUCUUAAAUUAUUAUAUUCAUCUAAGAAGUUAUAAAUAUUAUUAUUCAAACGACCUUUGACUCCUCCCUUGUAUCACAUUUCCUUUACCAUAGGUUAUUCAUAAUUGAAAACUUGCAAGAAAAUAUAUAUCCGAGUGAAGUGUGCAUCAAGUAAUUAACCAAAAAACCAUAAAAACAAAAAUGGAGCUAGUGUCGUUGCGUGGGCAGUUUUCUAAUGAAGUUACUAAGCUGCAAGUAAUGGUUUGCUGAAUGGGAUCAAUUGUUAUGGGUUUGGUUUGGCUACCCAGCCUAGUCUGAUGAUGAAUUGAACUUAACCUGCCCGUCCAAAAACAAGAAAAAAAAAAGUUGAAUUUCGGAAUAUUUUCGAGCUUGACCCGGGUCAAACGUCCUUCUCUGUUAACUUUAGGCAUCGGAUGCCGAUCCAGGCCGAAAGCUCGUAUAUCCGGAUCUUGCAUGUGGGCGCGGGUCCAUUUCGAGGAAGAGAACUUUUGAGGGAUUCCUUGAGAUCGGUUUGUGCAUUCACAUAUGAUUUCUACUUUCUAACCCUAACGAAGAGUUUGAUGAUGAAUUGAAUUUAACCUACCAGUAAAAAAUCCAAGAAAAAAAUUUGAAUUUCGGAAUAUCUUUCGAGCUUGACCGGGUCAAACGUCCUUCUCUGUUUACUUUAAGCAUCGGAUGCCGAUCCAGGCCGAAAGCUCGAAUAUCCAGAUCUUGCGCGUGGGCGUGGGUCCAUUUCAAGGAAGAGAGCUUUUGAGGGAUUCCUUGAGGUCGGUUUGUGCAUUCACACAUGAUUUCUACUCCUAACCCUAAAGAAGACGCAGCUCCAAGUCCGAGCAGGCAAAAACCAGAGCAAGACAGAGAGAACUUUUGCGAGGAAAGCCCCACAAAAACAUGGCAGCAACCGGUGGUUCCAGCGCGUUGGCGACCCGGUACGACGUGUUCUUGAGUUUCAGAGGGCCCGACACUCGCGACACCUUCACCGACUGCCUCUACCGAACCAUGAUCGGCCAGGGGAUCGCUGCUUACAGAGACAGCGAAGAGCUUCACGCCGGUGAUCGGAUCGACGAUCUCCUGAGAGCGGUCGGCGAAUCCAAGAUCUGCAUACCGAUCCUCUCCAGAGGCUAUGCUUCGAGCGCUUGGUGCCUCCGCGAGCUCGCUCGAGUGACGGAGCUCCAUGAAUCGACUGGGAAGCCGGAGAUCCUACCCAUCUUCUUUGAUGUCAUCCCCACCGACGUCAAGCUCAGGACGAAACUGUACCUCAAGGACUUAAAGAAGCAUGAGCAGAGGCACGGUGCCGAGAUCAGGCAACGGUGGGAGGCGGCUCUGGGAAAAGUGGCUGAGAUCAAGGGAUGGGAAGUCCAAGGGAAAGCGUAAGUAAAUGCUUAUUUAUGGAACUUUUUGCAAGCUUCAGUCCAAAUGCUAUUCUCUUAUUGUUCUUGUAAAUGGCAGUGAAAACUAGCUGGAGGGGUGUAUGUUGUUGAAAUAUAUUGGUUGACGUGGCAUGUACAAACCGGUUUUUGGUAUAUGAGCAAUAAAUUUCAUUUCUCACCGGGGAGGAAAAAACAGAGGCAAUUCGCUAAUUCUCAUACAUAAGCAGGGCCAUUUGACUAGUGACAGUUACAUGAGUGAAUUCGAUCUAAUUCUGGAAUGAAGUUUGUAAUUCGGACUGCAAAUGAACAUCUUCUUUCUCAGAAAUAGGGUCAAAUUGUAAGUUUAUCGUACCAAUCAUAUCCUAUGGAGUCUAUUACACCAAAAUUCUUGUGGCUCUAUAGAAUUUGUCUGAGACUUAAAAAUAGUGAUCCAACUCAAAUACUAUCUGCUAGGAAGUAGUAGUGAGAUUGUUAUUUGUUUUCUUUAACUAAAAGUGUUUGGUAUGUGGCAGACAAGGUGAAGUCAUUGAACGCGUUGUGAAAGAGAUUUUGCGUAAGCUGAAAGUAAAACAAAGACCUUUGGACAACAAAUUGGUUGGGGUAGAAAAACAAGUAGAAGCCAUAAUGGAGUUGUUAGAUGUUGACUCUGGCACGGGUGUGCGUUUUGUUGGAAUCCAUGGAAUGGGCGGGAUCGGUAAAACCACUCUUGCUAAGAAUGUUUUCAAUGAAUUAUGUCUUCAGUUUGAUGGCCAAUGCAGCUUCAUUGGGAACAUCCGAGAAUCAUCAAAAGGAAAUGGCCUAGUGAAUCUGCAGAAACAGUUGGCAUCUGACAUCUCUGAUUCUAGAUUUGUAGAAAAUUUUGGUAACACCGAUGAAGGGAUAGACAGCAUAACAAGGAGAGCUAGUUCUAAAAAAGUUCUCAUUGUUCUAGAUGAUCUAGACAAGAAAGAACUACUUAAGAAACUAGUGGGGGGGCCUAACACUUUUGGUUCUGGGAGUAGGAUUAUCAUAACAACAAGAAAUAGAGGGAUUCUGGAUGAAGAGAUGGGAAUCUUACCUUAUGAAGUAAAGCAAAUGGAUCAUGAUAAAGCGCUGGAGCUUUUUAGUUUGCAUGCCUUUAACAAUGUCUCUCCUCCCGAUACUCAUCAAAGUCUCUCUCGGAAAGUUGUAUCUACGACCGGGGGACUCCCAUUGGCUCUUGAAGUAAUAGGUUCCUAUCUUCAUCACCAAAACGAGGAGAUAUGGAAAGAAAUGCUAGAAAGGUUGAAGAAUAUACCUCAUGAUGAAGUUUGGGAUAAGUUGAAAAUAAGUUAUGAUGCAUUACGGGAGGAGGAAAAAGAAGUUUUUCUUGAUAUUGCAUGCUUCUUCAUAUCUGGAAAGAAAUUAUGGGCAGCCUAUUUCUGGGAUGCUUGCCAUCUUUACCCCCAUAAGUCAUUGAAAAAACUUACCGAUUUGUGUCUAAUUAAAAUUGUUGAGGGUGAUACUAUAUGGAUGCAUGAUCAAUUGAGAGACCUUGGAAGAGACAUUGUUAAAAAAGAAUGUACCCUUAGUAGGUUGUGGAAUGACAAAGAAGCUUUGGAAGUAAUGAGAUCAAAAGAGGUAAGGUAAAAGUAGGAUCCAUACAUUAUCCACCGUGAAAUUAUUUUCCCACUUCCCAUUUAAGAUAUUCCUUUUAGGCAUUCUAAAGGACAAAUUUAAUGUUUGCAAGCUCAUACUCAUUGAUGGUUUCUAUUGGCAGAGAAAGGACAAAAUUAAAGCACUCAAUUUAGGUCAAUAUAAUUCGGAUCCCAUCAGCAUUGUGGAUGAAGAACUUGAGAGGAUGCCAAAUCUAAAAUUUCUCAAGUUAUAUAGAGGGACUUUUGUUGGAGACAUCAACAAUAAUCUCCAAGAGCUAAGAUGGCUUUCUUGGCGUUGUCCUCCUUUAGAUCCUGGAAUGGCCAAUUUACACUUGAAAAAUCUAGCAGUUUUCGAACUUUCAUACAAUAAAAACACCGACAACUGGGGUGGAUGGAACAUUUUGAAGGUGUGAAUUUGUACUUUUGUUCUCUUAACAUAGACAUAGUAUUCUCUGUUUUAUCCUCUCUGAUAAUAUUUCAGUGACCUUUGCAGAUGGAAAACAAAUUGAAAGUUCUUUCUCUCUUCAAUUGUGAUGGAUUGAAACAGACUCUAGACUUUUCUAGAUGUGUGAGUUUGGAGAUACUCUCUCUUUCUCACUGUCAAUCCUUGCAAGAAGUUGACUUUAUUGGGAAACUAAAAGAUCUUACUCACUUGAAAAUUAAUUGGUGCGGAAAUCUUCGAAAUUUCCCGAAAGAGAUUGGAGGACUAGUGAAUCUGAAGCACCUUUCUCUCGACGGGUGCUCCAAAAUCAAGAAACUUCCAGACAUCGGGAAAUUAGCAUCAUUGUCUAAGUUGGAUAUAGCACGAACAAAAAUUACAAUUUUACCCGAUUCUAUUGGCAAUGCAAAGAAGCUAUCAUCCCUUGAUCUAUCAGGGACGUCAAUUGCGGAACUUCCAAUUUCUAUUGGAGAGCUUAUACAACUCGAAUUCCUUUCACUCUCUGGUUGUCAUAAUUUUGUGGAGCUUCCAGAAUCAAUAGGUUAUUUGACAAAAUUACAGAUGUUGGAUCUCUCAGGGACAAAAAUUAUUGAGUUACCUAAUUCGAUAAAGAAUCUCAAGCAGUUGAAGGUGAUGAGGAUGGCAUUCUGUCCAAUACAGAGGUUGCCAGCCGGUAUUGGAAUGCUAGAGAGCAUGGAGGAGCUCAAUGUCCGAAAUUGUCAACAACUUGCGGGCGAACUCCCAACUGCAAUUGGCGAACUAUUGUCUCCAAGUAUCCUAGACAUAUCGCAAACUAGUGUUUGUGCAGUCCCAUCGACGACAAUUAAUUCCCUUACGCAACUCCAAGAGCUGGAUCUAUCAUUUUGUAAUGAGCUUCAAGAGCUGCCAGAACUUCCCUCGAGUUUGAAUUGCCUACGUGUUAGAUCGGCAUCAUUGCAGUUAGUUCCGGAUCUUAGUUACCUCACGAAUUUGGUGGUUUUGGAACUGUCCAACAACUCUGGACAAGCACUUGCCCAAGCAUCAACUCUUCAAUUGCAAUGGGUUGGGAAGUUAUCUAAGCUGGAGCGGUUGGAGUUGUGCCUUUCAGAUCUUCCCGUGCCGUCAACGGAGUUGGGUUGCCUACCUCGACUUAAAAAACUCACCUUACCUUGCAUGGAUAGUUUCGAUUCGGUAGUCGUUGGACCACAAUUUUCGCACUUGAAAAAUUUGUCCACAUUGCAUCUUUGUCGCUGUCCACUGAUGGAAAUUCAACUAGAUGGGCUUGAACUAUUGGGAGAUUUGACUGUGACAUACUGCGAGUUUCUCGAGGGAUUGUCAGUUAUUUCAUCGAGCUUGAGGAAGCUCUCUAGAAUGGAAGUUAGAAAUUGCCCAAAGCUAAUUCGAUUUCUCAGUAUGAUGGAAUCAUUGGAGCAUCUCGAAGUUGGUCACUGCAAAUCCUUAGGAGGGUUGUACGGUUUAUCAAACUUGAAGAAGCUGAAGUUUUUAACAUUCAUCAGGUGCCCUGUGCUACGGGUUAUGGAGGGCCUUGAAGAAUUGGAUCAUUUGCAGCACUUGGAAUUCGGCACGUGUCCAUCGUUGAAAGUGUUGACUAAUCUAUCCAACUCAAAGAUACCAAAUAAAUGCAGGAUAGAUGUAUGGGAUUGCGAGAAGUUACCAGAUUGCUAUGGUGGCUGUUACGGGGAUUACAGAAAGGAGAUUCUUGAGUGGACGAGGAGGGGAUUAAACCAGGUGCGCCUUCCUUCUACCCUUCACUUAUUUUUCAAAUUUUAAUUUUUCGGAGACGCAGGUGGUAGGCAUGAGUUUUAUUUCCCUUGUUCCGUUUACUUUCAUCUCUCUCUCUCUACGUUCCGCAAACAACUGCAUCCUGUCAUUCUUUCUCUGUUAACGUUUCUCAAUACUCGGCCUUCCUCCUUUCAGGAGGGUGCGGCACAGUUCUUGGAACGCGGCCAACCGCUCAUCGUACAGGUAUGGUCUCUUCUACGGACCCAAAAUUCUUCUCGCGUUGGUGAAGUGAGAAAAUUUUUUUUCUCAAAUUUGUUGUAUGAAAAUUUUAUCUUUUGUGAACUCAAUAUAUUCUCAAAUAUCAAAGAGCUGUAUUGCAAAAUGAAAUUAAGGUCGUUUUCAGAAAAUAAGUUGCAGUCUCUAGAGAUCUUUGUGCUAAAAUGAAAAUAAAAAAUGUUCCCUAAAACCAAAUUAACUCGAAAUUUUCUUUCAAAUAUGGGGCAAUCCGUAAGCAGAGAGAUGAGUUUAAGGUAGAAGAUAGAGAUCCUAAAAUAUCACUCGAGUCAAAUUAAAUUUCAAUUACAGAAUUUUUUCCUAUAGGGAGUAGCCUCGUUAAACUAGACAUGUAGAUGCACUUUGUGACUAGUCUAGAAGGUAGACACCUGAGAUGAUUAUUAACUCUUUCACAUGUCAACCAUAUAAUUAUGAGUGUAGUUAUUUCUUACACUUGCAAUUGAUGUAAUAAAGAUCCUUCAUAUGAACAAGAAAGUGAUUGUGUCAAUAUUUCCCCAACCAAAGAUAAAAAUCUCUCACGCGGGCACAAAAGUAGAAGCUCAAAUGUAGUUAACUGUUCGAAUAAAUUUCUUUUAAAUAACUAAACUUUCCCUUCAUAUUUUAAAUGAAAAAAUAAAUAUAUAGAAACGAAUAUAUAAUUAAUGUAUUUGAGGUGUUACAAUUGGGUGAGCCACGAGAAAAGGAAUAGUAGUGAAAAAAGAUACACCAAAAAUAGAGUUAGUUUAUAUGCAAUAGCCGCUUGCCAACAAUGUUCUACUUAUCCUGCUACACCUAUUAGACUAACUAUAUGGUUUGGCAUUCUCCAUUAGAAGGCAAGCAUGUUAAAUAGUACAACUCUAUCAUUUGCCCUAAUUUUACAUAUUGCUUGAUAUUACAAUUUUUUCUUGUCAAAGGAUUUAUUCAAGUUUUCUAUUAAAUAAAAAGAAUUCUGUGAAAAAUAGAGGUGCCUAUACAAAACUUAAUAUUCAUGAUGUCCGUUUAUCUAGCAAAACAUAUUGUUUUCUUUUCCUGAUAGCUGAAUUUAAUUAGAGUGAAAUACGAAGUAGUCAAUAAAAUUUGAGUGAAAUAUGUACAUACUUCAUGGAUAUUGAAUCAAUAUACUGCUAAAUCGUUGGAUAAUUUCAUCAAGUUCUCUUUUAUGAAUACAUGUCAAAAGCUUAUAAAACCAGGGACUUUUGGUGGAGACGUCAACAAUCAUCACCUGAAGCUAAGAUGGCUUUCUUGGGGUUUUCCUCCUCUAGAUUGUAGAAUGGCCAAGUUGCACUUGAAAAAUCUAGUAAUUUUCGAACUUUCACACCAUAGAAACACAAAAAACCGGGGUGGAUGAAAAGUUUUGAAAGUCUGAAUUCAUGCCUUUGUUCUCUCAACAUAGUAUUUUUUUUCUUUAAACCCUCUCCGAUAAUGUUUCAACUACUUUUGCAGAUGUUAAUAAAAUUGGAAGUUCCUUAUUACACGUUACCUAAAUUUUAUGAAACUUUCGUAACAUUGAAAUGGACUGGUUACCCCAGUUUGGAGACAUUGUAUUUUCACUAUUGUCUAAACUUGCGAAAAUUUGACUCCUCUAUUGGGAAGAUGAAAGUUCUUACUCACUUGGACAUUAUUCGGUGUACGAAUCUUCGAACUUUGCCCGAAGAGAUUGGAGAACUGGCGAAUUUGACGCACUUCUCUAUCAAAAAGUGCUCUCAAAUGGAGAAACUUCCACACUCUAUAGGGAAAUUAGUAUCAUUGUCUAAGUUGGAUAUAUCAUCCUCAAGAAUUACAAGUUUACCUGAUUCAAUUGGCAAUGCAAAACAUCUGUCAUUCCUAAAUCUAUCAGGCACACCAAUUGUGGGACUUCCAAUUUCCAUCGGAGAGCUUAUGCGACUUGAGUUUCUUUCACUCAAAGAUUGUCGAAAUUUGGGGGAGCUUCCAGAAUCAUUAGGCAACUUGACAUCAUUACAGAAGUUGAAUCUCUCAAGGACAAACAUUGUUGAGUUACCUAAUUCGAUAAAAAAUCUGAAGCAACUCAAGGUGAUGAGGAUGGGAUUUAGUCCAAUAAGGAGGUUACCUGCCAGUAUUGAAAUGCUAGGGAAGUUGGAGGAACUCUAUGCCGAACAUUGUGAACAAUUUGCAGGCGAACUUCAGACUCAAAUUGGCAAACUAUUUUCUUUAAGUGUCCUCGACAUUUCAUAUACUCGUGUUAGUGCAAUGCCGAAGGCAAUCGAUUAUCUCACGCGACUCCAAAAGCUGGAUUUGACACAUUGUAAUGAACUUCAAGAGUUGCCAAAGCUUCCCUCGAGUUUGCGUUGUCUACGUGUUCACUCGGCAUCAUUGCGGUCAGUUCCCGAUCUCAGUAACCUCACGAAUCUAGUAGAAAUGCUUUUGUCUAAUGGCUUUGGACAAGCUCUUGCCCAAUCAUCAAACCCAAUGCAAACUUUCCAAUUACAAUGGGUUGGAAAGUUAUCUAAGCUAGAGAAGUUGAGCUGGGGCCUUUCAAAUUUUCCCAUUUCGUCAAUAGAGUUGGAUUGCCUACCUCGACUUAGAGAACUCACUUUAUCUAGCAUGGACAAUUUUGACUCAAUAGUUGUUGGACCACAAUUUUUCAACUUGAAAAAUUUGUCCAUAUUGUGCCUUCAUAGUUCUCCACUGAGGGAAAUUCAAUUGGAUGGGCUGAAUUAUUGAGAAAUUUAGGUGUGAGAGAAUGCGAGUUUCUCGAGCGACUGUCAGUAAUUUCAUCAAGUUUGAGGAAGCUCUGUAAAAUGGAAGUUUUAGAUUGCCCAAAGCUACUUGAAAUUCAAUUUCCCAGUACAAUGGAAUCAUUAGAGGAACUUCGAGUUGGCUACUGCGAUUCCUUGGGAGGGUUGCAUGGUUUAUCAAACUUGAAGAAGCUGAAGGCUUUGCGGAUCUACCAAUGCAAUGGGCUACGGGUUGUUGAGGGCCUUGAAGAAUUGGAGCUUUUGGGUAUUUUGUAUUUUUCCAGGUGUGGAUCGUUGGAAAGGUUGACUGAUGUAUCCAACUCAAAGAUACCAAAUGAAUGCAUGAUAGAAGUAUGGGGUUGCAUGAAACUAAGUAGUUAUGAGGGCACUUACCGGGAUUAUAAAGAGAUGAUUCUUGUCAGGAUGAGAAUGACAUUCAACGAGGUGCGGCUUCCUUCUAUCUUUGACUUAUUUUUCAGAAACGCCAUGCUGUAGGCAUCACAUUUCCUCAUUUUCGCUUGUUCCGUUUGCUUCCUUGUCUCUCUGUCUAUCUCUGUCUUGCAUGUUCUUACUUUUUUAUAUAAAUCUAUGGAUUAUUGUUUGGUCCACUAUUAGUGUAAAGGAAACAUUCAUCGUUUUACUGUCUGAGCUUAAUUUUGUAAUCGGAAUUUUUCAACGUGUCAACCAUCUAAUGGUGUGUAUGUGUAAAUUGUUUCUUACAAGAGCAAUGGGCUUAAUAAAGAUCCUUUCCAUAACUAAGCAACGAUUAUAUUAAUAUUUCACCGAGCAAAGGUAAAAAUCACGCUCUCUACACUUAUCACUUGAGUUUAAAAUGAACUAGUAAAUUAUAUAAAAACAAAUAUUCGAUUUAUGUAUUAUGAAAAAUUUGAAGUGAUACUUAUCGGACGAGACAUGAGAAAAGGAAAAACAGUGAAAAAAGGUAUAUUAGGAGUAAGUUUAUAUGCAAUACCCACUAGUCAACAAUACUUUGCUUAUCGAGCUAUCCCUAGCAAACUGUAACUGUUUGGUGUAAGAACGGGCAUUUCACCUUUAAUUGUUAGCGAGAUGGUGACUCAAUAAUGGGUCUUCUAACCCACUCAACAGUAGUUAUUGCAACUACGGAUCAAUUAUGUCAUGGGAGUAACAGUAGACUCUGUAAUUGGCACAUUUUUAUCUAAAGCAAUCAUUGAUCGUCUCAUGCCCGAUGAUUGUACCAUCAUAGACUUGGUCGUUUGACUGGCUUUGCCCUACGGUUCAUAAAUGCUGGUGAAGCGAACGACUGUAAUGUUUGGACUUUAGGGCAGGCCGAUUAGAUCAUAUUUGCAUUUUCUUGUCCUCCAAUAUAGGUAGAAGACUAAUUCAUAUUUUUCCCGUUCUAGGAGGAUGAAAUGGAGGAGAACGACCGCAUUGAUUUUUCCACGGGCAUAUUAGAAUGUAUCUGCAAUCCCUUAUCGUUUUUUCAGGGGAGGAGUCUUCGGAGGCAGACAGGAUGAGUAAAUUGUCUUGCGGGAUAAUGCAGACGUGGAGUCAGGAAAAAUUGAAUUGAUCUCUAUGCAUUUUGGUUAAGGGUACAAAAACUAAAUCGAUGGCUCCAAGAGAAUGCUUUCACUCUUUUUGAUGAACUCAAGUGCACAGAGGUCGAGGGACCAGUUUCCUGGAAACAGGAAUGCAGUUUGCAUGUGGAUUUACUCUGCUUCGAGGAUUUGCUAACUGUCCAUUCGUUGAGAGGUAAGUCAUUCCCUCUGUGAAUAUCAAAUUGCUUGCCACAUAGAAGCAUGGUCAAGAUUCUCGACAACUUAGACAAUAGUUUCCAAUGCAUAUGAUACUUUUAUCUGGGUAAAUGAAUGAUUCUACCAAAAUUUCUCAAAUAACUGACGAGUGCAAAAAACCAAGAGGGGAGAUGAAGAGAAACAAGCUGAAGUGGGCAAUUUUGGGAUGUCCCAAACGGUGAUCAUUAGAUCAAAUAUUGCAUGAACGCCCCCAAAAUGUGUCAAGGUUACUAACACGUGCAAUCCUUGGCCCUAGCAUUAUGCUGUCACGGAUGACUAGAUUUAAUAGGAGAAAAUAUUAGUCUUUCCUGUGCCAAUGUGUGAAGUGGGCAAAACUGAUGGUAGAAGAGACUAAUUAGAAGAUUAUCUGCAAGCCAUUCUAAUUUCUUCUAGGAUGAGGUUGUAGUGGCAGAAGCAAAAGCAGACACUAUUGACGUCUUCUCAAUUCUCAAGAGUCUGACGUCGAGCAUUCACUUGAGUUUUUGUAACAACAAUUCUAAUUUCAUUUUGUUCGGUUCUCAUCCGUUCAAAUCAUCAAAUCUCAUUUGGCUUUCAUUUCAUUGUUUAUUUUCAACUCAUUUACAGCUCUUGUUUCUUCUCAAAUCAUGCAUACUUGCAGCUCGCAUGCUCCAGACACAAACUCUUUUGAUAUUUGCAACAAGCAUGGACUACUGAUGUAUAUGAUCAUAAGUAGCCUCAUGUCGAAAUAGAAAAUAGUACUCCCACCAUUCUCCUCUUUCCUUCAGCACCUCACCAUCUCAAAGUAACAUGCAGGAGCACCAUUUGACAUACACAAUCACAUAUGAACAAGAUUUGAUCCACACAAACACUUAUGAGCAGCAUUUAACAUACAUCACCUAUAUAUCUAAUUAGUUCACAUUCCAAUCAGCUAUAUACGGGAAAUCUAGCAAAGACACAACAAACGCAACUUCAAUUGAACAUUGAGACAUUGGUAAACAGAAUGCAAUAGGAACUAUCUGCGAUGGAGUCGGGCAUUCCGCUGAAAAGGUUGUGAGCAUGUGGUGUGAAGUACUAUUAACACCAGAAUGGCAUAGUGUAAUACAGAACACAAACAUCAGAGUGGAAAAUCCAUGCGUACAAGCAAUUCUUACCACUUAAUUGGAAAAGAAACAACCCGGCGGUGAUGAGAAUUGACACAAAACAGAACAGAAAUGAAAAGAGACAACGGAAUUAACUUCAUCUUCACGGAAUGCCCUCAAGCUCAUUGGUCCCUCUGUUUUCUUAUGGACAACAUCAGAAUUGACAAAAAACAGAACAGAAAUGAAAAGACAAAACCAAAGGCAAUCGAAAUCACUUUUAAAAUUAAUCGGAGACGAAGUGACCUGGCAGGUGUGGCUCUCAGUUGUACUUAUCGAGCUAUGCCUAGCAAACUGUAACUGUUUGGUUUGCAGUCACCUUAGAAAGGCAAGCAUGCGAAAUAGUACAACUCUAUCAUUUGUCAGAACUUUAAAUAUUGCUUGGUAUUCAUUUUUUUUCUUCUUGUCUAAGGUUUAUUAAACAGAAAAAUUUGUGAAAAAAGAAGAAGAAGAUGCCUGUACAAAACAAAUAGUUCAUGAUAUCACGUACACUUUAUCUAAUGAAAUGGCGGAAUGUAUGUUUUUCUUUUCCCUGAUAGCUAAAUCUAAUUAGAGCGAAGUAUGAAGUAGCCAAUAAAUUGUUGGUGAAAUAUUUACAUGGUUAAUAGAUAUAUAAUCAUCAUACUGCCAAUAGUUGGAUAAUUAUGUUGAGUUCAUGAAGUCCUUUCAUAUAGAUAUUUGCCGGAAAUUAAUAAAGCUAUGGAUUAUGAUAGAUCUGCUAGCACUCGUUUGCAUAAUUAGUUUUCAACGUGAUGUGUAAACCAAGGUGUAUAAUGUACACCUUGGUUUAUGCAUGAUCCAUAAAUAAAAUAAAAUAUGCAUUGUACCUUAACUAUGAUAUGAAGCAUUGGAAUGGUUGGACUUCGAAGCAGAUGGAUUGGAUAAGAAGACUGAUUCAUUUUUUCUUGUACUAGAAGAUGCAAGGGAAACAGAUGCAGAAGAAUCAGUGAUGGAGACCCUAACUACUAUUCUCAGAACUUGUCAUUGACUAUAGGUUUUCUAUGGUCUCCAGAACCCGAUACUGAGCUCGAUUCUACAAGUAAGUCAUUGCUGUUAAAAUGAAUAUAAUGUCAUCCGGUCACACAAAUUAACAUCUGUUAGCUUAUCAACGUACAAAAACUAACAGGAAUUGAACUAAUCUUUGGAUGUUCUGCUGCUGCUAUUUUGGAUCUAAUAUCAUCUAUUAGCUUCCCUCAAUAGUACAAACUAUUCUUGCAGGCUUGAAUAAUUCCAAGUUCUUCCACGAACCACAUCUUCGGAUGUUUCCAGAAGUUUAUGCUCAAUUCUAUAAGCAAAAUGUUACUGAUUCUAGCAAUGGAGAGAUGAAUGAAUUCACAAUGUGGUCGAGUUUGGGAACCUGUGAAAUUGCCAGAAGUAAUGGAGUUUGCUCUAAGGACAUGUCCCCCCUCUCCCGGGUCCAUCACAAGAGAAAAUUUUUGUGGAUUUGUCCGAGGUAAUUAAUUCCGUUUUGUGAAAACCCAUUUGUGUGCCACAUCAAUUUCCGAUACAUACGAUACUUUUCUCAAAGGUGUGCAAUAUCGGACCAGGUCAAGCUCUAGGUAAUGGUAUGUUCUUCUAAUUAUUUGUGCCUUAGGUCCCUCUUUUUUGUCAUGCCGUAAGAAGUCAUUUUUAAGCAGUUAAAGAAGAAGAAGACCUAAUUCUCCAGAUAAACCAGUAUUUCGGAGUCAGUAGCAGUGAUUGUGAUCAAUUUUUUGGUCAUAUACAGCAGGGCACUGUUUCUUUAUCCAUUUUUGGUAGAUUAAUGGUUCUACCAAAGUUGCUCAAAUAACUAAAUAAUGCCAAAAUACGAAAAAAAUAAAAAUAAAAUGAACGAAACAAUCAAGCUGGAAAUAGACUGUAUCUGGGGCUGUUGAUCCUUUAAUCUAAACUAGCUCACAGUACACAUGAACUUGAAAAGAAAAAGGACAGUGAAAUAAGAAAGUGGUGACAGUAAGCCUCUUGACAAAACUCUUCUGCCUUUGCAGAUAUGGAGGAGAGCUCUAUUCCUAUGUGCUACCGAUGAAUGACGGCUGCUUCAAUUUGAUGCUCAAUAUCAGCAAUAAAUGUUUCGAGCCUCUCUUUUCCCUCUGCAAGCUAAGCCUUCUUUCAAAGAUCUCUCCCUCAUAACAAAGUCGAACUUGUAGCCCUCCAAAGCUUUCUUCUAUGGCUUUUGACACUUUCAUUUGCUUUUGCUUGCGGUUGUACCUAAAAGCUUCAAUGCCAUCCUCAGAGAGAGUAUAAAAUUCUUCACACUUGUGCUGAUAUUCAGUAAGAUUAAGUCUAUCUUCAUCCUGGAUCAGUUAGACCAGCCGAAACUUUAUAUUCUUUUAUUUUCGAGGUCUGAGUCAGAGGCACUGUGGGAAUAUCCACACCAAAGGAGUAAAUAUAAUUCUUCCCACUCGGCUUCAGCUCUUCAGAAAUUGAUGGGCUAAGAUGGCCAGAUGAUGAAGCCAUACCGACAGUAAUUGAGUUCAACUCCUGGUCGAUUUUAGGGUUGACAAUGCUGAGCAAUCCUUGAGUUCUGUUUCGCUUGGCCAAGGGAGUCUCUUCUACAUCUUCUCCGACAAUGACUGUUGAUGACUUUCGUUUGCAGGUUUCAACAAUCGAGAGAAAGAUGUUAGAUGGUUAUUAAAGGACGAAAGGAAACGAAGGAAAUGAUAAACAAAUUUUUACGAAGUCCUGUCCUGUAAUUACUCUUGAGUAUUGAUAAUGAUGGAUUCGAUGGGGAUGCAUUAGAAGUUUGAGACACUCCAAACGGAUCAUCCUUCUUUCACCUUCUCUAAAAAUGAAUCACCGCUUUUGACAAACAUCCAAUUGUAACAGGAAUUCCACCACCCAAAAAAAAAAAAAAAAUCGUGCUUUGUGGGUUCUUGAGGAAUGGAAUAUGCAUGUACCGAUUGAAUAUAUUGAGGCGGAUGUCGAUGUAGUGCAAUGUCGCAUCUAUGCUCAGUCUAUGGAGAGAGGAAAUUUUGUUUGAUAUAUAGUUGGCCUAGGAAUUCCCUGAGCCAAUUCAAACUGUUGAGUACAAUAUUUAGGAUGAUAAACCCAGAUUCCGGGAAGAACAUUUCUCCGUUUGACAAAUUUAAGAGGAUGAUCAACAGAGACCAAGACGGUCCUCCAGAAUCUCCCAAUCAUGGCCGAGCCAUUAUAAGAGUAAAUAGAGAAGUAGGAAUAUCUAUGGGACAUAAGUUGAAAUUUUUACGCCUUAGGUCGCAAUAAGAAAAUACUUGGACUGGGGCAAGCUCUAGGUAUCGGUAUGUUCAACUAAUAAUUUUUUAGCCAUAUGUCCCUCCUUUUUUAAAGUCGUAAGAAGUCAGUUUUAAAUAGUUAAAGAAGAAGAUGACCUAAUUCUCCAUGUAAUUCAGUAAUUCAGAGUCAGUUGCCGUAAUUGUUAUCAAUUUUUUGGUCAUAUACCGCAAACCACUGUUUCUCUUUCCUUCCUUGAUAGAUUUUCUGCCAAAGUUGCUCAAUAUCUAAAGAAUUCAAAUAAUAAAAUAAGGUGAAAAUGAAGAAACAAUCAAGCUGGAAAUACAGUUUUUGGGCUUGCUGAUCGUCAAAAUCAACUUAGUGAAAGCUCCUUGAAAAUCUGUCAAGAUUUUACUAACAUGCACAGUAGAUGGCCCUGCAUUUCUCAGCCAUAGAUGACUAGACCUAACAGAAGAAAAUCUGUCUUUCCAGUGCCGAUGUUUGCGAAUUAGACAAAACUAAUGGUCAAACAAACAUGGUUGGAUGAUAUGGGCAUUUGCACAUUCCGUAAUGCUAGCCAAAGAGCAUUUGUAAUGACUAUCAUUAGAAUUUUUGUUCAAGUAAUUCACUGGUAAUGGCAGAAGAGACUAAUUAGAUGAUAUCUGCAUUUUUGCAUCCUACAAUGCUAGUGAAAGAGCCAUUCGAAUUUUCUUCUAGUAGGUGGCAGUGGAAGAGGCCAUUGAAGGAUUGAAGGCGGAUAUUCAAGCAAUUUACUGCUAUUAAUUUUCUGUUCUGCUAUCAUAUAGUGCAAUGUACAUCAGCAUGUUUUCCAUUUACUGCUAUCAUUUUGCAGGUGCACCUGCCUGGCGCAUCUUUGGAUGUUUGACAAAUGGUGCUACAACUUUUUGUCCAGUGCUGAUAUCAUCUGUAGGCCGGCGUAUUGCCAAGCAUUGAUGGCUUCGAAUUCCAGUUGAAAUAUCUUCUUCAGCUUCUUUCUGGUCUAAUACUUCAUUUCAACUUCUUCUUCAUGAGAUGCCGCCUCCCUUGGCGUUGGUGAUUUGGUAUAUGAAUAGGAUUCUUUGACAAGUAAAUUUAAUGUCACUACCUAAAUUAUGAAGAAGGCUGGCACAGAGUUAAUAGAGAAAUGCCAAAAGCAAGUUAAUCACGGCAUAACAAUGAGAAAUGUAGCAAGAUAUCCCCUCCCUAAGGCGUGAAGCAAGAUAUUUGGAGUUCAAUUGUAUUGGAUACAACCUUUGCGGUUCCUUGAUUUAUGGACUUUUGCCCACUGGGGUCCUUGAUCUCAGGGCACUAUAUUGAUUGAGUGAUAUCAUCUGAUUACCAACUAGACCUUAAGCUUUAGCCAUAGGCUGAUGAGGGUGUAGAAAAAAGAAUCCUGCUUGACUCGUCGAAGCUCAUAGUACACAUGAACUUGAAAGAAAAAAGAAAGCAUAAUAACAAAAGUGGAAAAAACAUGCCUCUUGACAAUUUUCUUCUCUCUUCGCAGAUAUAGAGGAGAGCUCUAUUGCUAUGUGCUAUUGUUCGAGUUCCCAGGAAUUGGAUUUUGGACUUCACUGGAUAAAGCAGGCUGCUAAGGGACUAGUUUCAGGUUGAUUAUGCCGAAGCUAGUGUGGAAAGGUUCCAUAUACAAUCUAUGGAGAGCUAGGAGUGACUUGCUGCGUAAUCAAGUUACUCCGGUUGUUGAUGUUGUGAUGAAGUCUCUUAUGUUUGCAGUAAGACUAGGCAUCAAAGGGCCCAAGCUGCUGCAGCAAAAAGUUUGUUCUAAUUUGGCAUUGGCCUUAAGUUUGUAACUGGCAAAUUCAGUGUAGCGGAACACAAAUUGGUGUGCUCGGCCUUUAGCAACUAGUCCUGUAACUGCUUCGGAUAUUUGGGCAGUUAUUAUUCAUGUUCUGGUUGAAGUUGAUGUUGUUGCUUGAGUAUUUUCCUAGUCUGUUAUAAUCAACCGCCGGUAAUGGUUUGCUGAACGCAAUCACCUGUUUGCGACUUGUACUGGGUUUGGCUUCCGAGCAUGGUUUGAUGAAGAAAUGAAUUUAACUUGCCCAUAAAAAGGUAGGUAUUUAAAAACAUUUUCGAGCUUGACAAGGACAUACAUCCUUGUCUGAACAUAGACAUUUCGAGAGUCAUUCCUUCGAAAAGAUCCUGAAAUCCACUAUUUAUCACGGUGGUACAAGUCCCUAUUUUAAUCUGAAUACGAAAAUGAAAUGUGGAUAUAGGGGGCAUGGACACAGUAAGAGAAAAGUUGGACAUCAACAAUUUUGGAAAUAUUGUUGGUUUUGGAUAAAUAAUAUUGAGUAGAUAAUUUUGGAAAAAUUUCAUUUGUAUGAUGAAGAUCUUUAAUUAAUCAACUUUUAGGAUGGUGGGUUUUUGUUUGAAAAGCUGGAUUUAACGUAUGGAGGUUUCGUUGUAGGAUAAUACUCUUUGCUCAUACCAUCAUUGGGCAUAUGCCGGAGCUAAUGCAUGGAAAUAUCACAACGUAUACCAUUUAUAUGGUGCAUAUAUCCUCAUCUCACAUAAUUAUGAGUUUUAUAUAAAUGAGAUUCAUACAAUAUUGACAUAUAUAACAUGCUCAUAAGUAAUUUCUUGUCGGAGCGGAGUUAUAGACUAUGUACGAUGGCUCCUUUGAAUAGGUAGAGAUGAGCCCUCAAUCCUUCUUGACUUCUUAACUAUAGUUGCUUUAUUCAUGGAAAAUCCUUUGCUGGAAGCAGCUUGACAGUUUUUGUAACAGUACAAACCGUGCCAAGCUCCUUUUUCAUUUUUGCAAUAUAUAUAUAUAUAUAUAUAAUGUCAAAUGGUCGAUCAAAGGAGAAAUUAUUUUAUGCACUUAGUAUAUAUGAUAAACUAAAUCCAGAUUGCCAAAUUUGGUGAAUCGCUGAUCAUUUCAAUGGCCCACAUUCAAUUUGGUAUAUAUACUACGCACAUGUAAUAUAAUUUCUGCAUUAAGAAAGUCAAUGGGAAGAGGAGAGCUAUCCAUGUUGGUUUUAGUAUUGCAAGGAAAUUAUCCUCUCCGCCCAUGCCUAGAGUAUAAUUUGUUAUGAGAUUUCAUACCACAUUAAUUGAUCCAUUAAUUAUUAAGAAAAUUGUCCAAAAAAUCAUAAAUCUAUUAUAUGACGUUCAUGUCAAUGAUUUUCGAUACUUUGAUUUUCCGAUUUCUCAUCUUUUUUUUUUUUUUGAUAGGGUGGAUCUGCGAGGGAAAAAUGAAUGUUUGUUUCUGUCCCUUUCUUUUUAACUAAAACCGCAAAACGAAUUGUGAUUAGGAUAGAAGGGCAUGUUUGUCAGGCAUUAAAUAAAAGUAAAAAUUAUUCAUCUUAUUUUUCAUCAAAAUCUAUAUAAUUAUGGGUAAUUGUUUAAAAAGAUAUUUCUUCUUUUAUCAAUAUUAGGUAAUUGUUUACGAUCUUGCAAACCCAAGAGUUGAUGCAAGUGCAAUUUGUAUAAUCUAAAUUUUGACAAGAUUUGAAAGUUGCUCCCUCUUCCGAAAUCCAAUUGAGUCGAAACUACACAUACAUCAUUGUUUAAAGGGUCCGGCUUUUCCCACUCCUCAUUUGGCUUGUACAAGUCAUUCCACUGUGUUAUGACCAUAUUACCCCUUGCCUUUUCAAAUGUUAGCAUGCUCAUGCGUGGUGCCCAUUGGUGUCCCUCUUUUUUAUUUGUUUCGUCUUCUUCUUCCACUUUCUCCUCCUUCUUAGUCCGCCCAAGCAUGGUCAAUUUAAGUUCUUUGUUUAGUUUUGCGUUCUUUUUUUUUUUUUUCGGUCUCUUUAGAAUUCUAUCAAUUCUUGUGCACCCCUAACUUAGAUGAGAAAAAUCAUACCGAAAAUCCAUUCCAUCAUCAACAUGACUUGGAGCAUCACUAGGCCAAUCUUGCACAUUAUUAGCCAUUACAGCCACAGAACAAUGAGUUUGCGCAUCAAUGCUAAAGCCGGACAAGUUGCUCGAGUAAUCGUCAACGGUGUUGGAGGUGUGGAGGAUUCGGGCCGGUUAGUGAAGUCGGAGGUGUACCGGUGGUAGUGGGUGGGGGAAGAUGGACGGCUUGGAAUGGGAGUCCACGCAGAUGAUUGCAGGUCUUCGCCGUUUUGAUUAGACGAGCAUUGGACAUAGAAGAAGAAAAAGAAGCAGAGCGAGAGAGCGAUGUCGUUUUAGAGUAUCUGGAAUUGGCGGAACGGAACGAAAAAUUGGCAAAAGAGAAAAAGAGGACUGGCUAGGUGGGUGACGAAGUGGACGGCGUGUCAUUUUAUGGGUGCCCAUAUCAAAUGGAAAUGUUGAAUCUUUUUUUUUUUUUUUGUUAAUAAGUAAUUGAUUAAAUGAACUAAUUAAUUUAAUAAAAAAUGAUUAAUUUAUUUUCCCUUCCUUUCAAGCAAUGUUGGACGAACGAACUUGCCUCAAAAUUGAUAUGCUCACGCAUGUGAAGGCUGAUGUCAUAUUCACGAGGAUAACGUCAUCCACGUCCAACAAUAUAAGUAUAAUUAUUAUGUAAUCACAUAAGAUUACAUAUAAUUGGAUAAGUACACUGGUGGGCAAAUGCUUGUUGAAUCUAAAUAUGUAUGUGGAUGUGAAACGAAACUUUUCGGAUAAGAUCUUUACCAAAAAAAAAAACUUUUAGGAUAAGAUUAUUUUUAGCAAUCAAACUCUUAGUGAAUGUUUGAAGUUGGUCGUCCAAUUUCUACUUUGUUCAAAUUGAUCCUAGUACUCUUUUAGGUGGUCUCCGACUCUCCAUGGUCAAGUAAUUUUAAUUGGUCUUCCCAAAGAAAAGCUUACGUGGCAGCAUUUCUUUUUUUCUUUUUUCCUGAUGGAGAAUGCAAGAAAGCCGAUCUUUGCAAUUAGAAGGUGACUUUUUGAGCUAUUUAUAGAUCUACAAGUACAUGCCAUCUUUAGAGACAAUACUUACAAGUGUUCAUGUACACAUAUAUAAAAAAUUUCUUCAGUAAUCCAUAGAUUUAGAACCUUUAGAAGAAAGAAUGUUACUUAAAAAAAUAAAUAAGCUAGGCAGAACUUAUUUAUAUUUUCUAUUGCGUAUAUAUUUUCUCAAUUUAACUUUAAUUUACAUGUGAAACAAAAAAAAAAGGAAAUUUGCUCCAGAAUCCAAUUUUUUGCAUUUAUUGUACCGCUAAUUUCCUUAUAACAUGUCUUUAGGUUAAUACAAUCAAGACAAAAACAUAGUUACAAGUUUACUUUUGCCAUAUUUUCGGAAUCAUGAGUAUAGUAGUAUGACGUAUUUUCUUCCUCUUAUCAGUAUUUCAACUCUUAAAUUAUUAUAUUCAUCUAAGAAGUUAUAAAUAUUAUUAUUCAAACGACCUUCGACUCCUCUCUUGUAUCACAUUUCCUUUACCAUAAGUUAUUCAUAAUUGAAAACUUGCAAGAAAAGAUAUAUCCGAGUGAAGUGUGCAUCAAGUAAUUAACCAAAAAACCAUAAAAACAAAAAUGGAGCUAGUGUCGUUGCGUGGGCAGUUUUCUAAUCAAGUUACUAAGCUGCAAGUAAUGGUUUGCUGAAUGGGAUCAAUUGUUAUGGGUUUGGUUUGGCUACCCAGCCUAGUCUGAUGAUGAAUUGAACUUAACCUGCCCGUCCAAAAAACAAGAAAAAAAAAAUUGAAUUUCGGAAUAUUUUUCGAGCUUGACCCGGGUCAAACGUCCUUCUCUGUUUACUUUAGGCAUCGGAUGCCGAUCCAGGCCGAAAGCUCGUAUAUCCGCAUCUUGCACGUGGGCGCGGGUCCAUUUCGAGGAAGAGAACUUUUGAGGGAUUCCUUGAGAUCGGUUUGUGCAUUCACAUAUGAUUUCUACUUUCUAACCCUAACAAAGAGUUUGAUGAUGAAUUGAAUUUAACCUACCAGUAAAAAAUCCAAGAAAAAAAAUUGAAUUUCGGAAUAUUUUUCGAGCUUGACCGGGUCAAACGUCCUUAUCUGUUUACUUUAAGCAUCGGAUGCCGAUCCAGGCCGAAAGCUCGAAUAUCCAGUUCUUGCACGUGAGCGCGGGUCCAUUUCGAGGAAGAGGGCUUUUGAGGGAUUCCGUGCAUGGAACGUUUCCGGAACACUUCUGUACGGAAAGUGUUUCCGGGAACAAAAAAGGAACAGAAACGCGUUUAGUUGCGUUUCUGUUCUUUUUGUUUUUUUGUUUAUGGAACGAAAUAAGAACAAAAAAAAGAAACAACAAUUUGUUGUUUCUUGCUCCGAAAACAUUUCUCUUCUCUCUCUUCUUCUUCUCUUCUUCUUUUCUUCUUUUUUUUCUUCUUUUUUCUUUCGCCGGUCGCCGGCCUCGGCCAUGGCCGGCGACCGGCUGUCGAGGCUCGGCCUCGCCCAGAUCCGGCGAGGCCGAGCCUCGCCUUGGCUGGGCGGGCUCGGCCUCGCCGGAUCUGGGCGAGGCUGCCGGCCCCGUCGGCCGGUCGCCAGAGGCCGGGGACCGGCUGAAAAAAAGAAAAAAUAAAAAGAAAAGAAAAAAUAAAUAAUAAAAUAAAAAUGUUUAAAAAAUUAAAAGAAACAAAAAAAGAAUAAAAUUUACCAAACGUGUUUCUAUUCAUUUUUUAUUCCCGGACCAAACGUUACCAAACGCGUUCUUUUGUUCAAAAAUUGUUCCCCGGAACAGAAACACUUUUUUUUGUUUCUGUUCCCAGGAACAAAAAAGAAACAGAAUUGUUUCCAUGCGCAAUGAGAUCGGUUUGUGCAUUCACAUCAUGAUUUUUUACUUUCUAAACCCCACCGAAGACGCAGCUCCAACUCUAAGCAGGCAAAAACUAGAGAGAGACAGAGAGAACUUUUGCGAGAGAAGCCCCCCAAAAACAUGGCAGCAACCGGUGGUUCCAGCGCGUCGGCGACACAGUACGACGUGUUCCUGAGUUUCAGAGGCCCCGACACUCGCGACACCUUCACCGACUACCUCUAUCGGACCAUGGUCGGCCAGGGGAUCGUCGCUUACAGAGACAGCGAAGAGCUUCACGCUGGUGAUCGGAUCGACGAUCUCUUGAGAGCGGUCGGCAACUCCAAGAUCUGCAUACCGGUCCUCUCCAAAAGCUAUGCUUCGAGUGCUUGGUGCCUCCGCGAGCUCGCUCGAGUGACGGAGCUCCAUGAAUCGACUGGGAAGCCGGAGAUCCUACCCAUCUUCUUUGAUGUCACGCCCUUGGACGUCAAGCUCAGGACGGAACUCUACCGGAAGGAGUUGGACAAGCAUGAGCAGAGGCACGGUGCCGAGAUCAGGCAACGGUGGGAGGCGGCUCUGGGUAAAGUGGCUGAGAUCAAGGGAUGGGAAGUCCAAGGGAAAGCGUAAGUAUAUGCUUAUUUAUGGAACUCUUUUCAAGCUUCAGUACAAAUGCUAUUCUCUUAUUGUUCUUGUAAAUGGCAAUGAAAACUAGCCGAAGGUGUAUAUAUUGUUGAAAUAUAUCGGUUGACGUGGCAUAUACGAAUUAGUUUUUGGUAUAUGAGCAAUAAAUUUCAUUUCUCACCGGGGAGGAAAAAACAGAGGCAAUUCACUAAUUCUCAUACAUAAGCAGGGCCAUUUUGGCUAGUGAUAGUUAGACGAGUGAAUUGGAUCUAAUUUUGGAAUGAUGUCUGUAAUUCGGUCCGCAAAGGAACAUCUUCUUUCUCAGAAAUAGGGUCAAAUUGUAAGUUUAUCGUACCAAUCAUAUCCUGUGGAGUCUAUUACACCAAAAUUCUUGUGGCUCUAUAGAAUUUACUUGAGACUUAAAAAUAGUGAUCCAUCUCAAAUGCUAUCUGCUAGGAAGUAGUAGUGAGAUUGUUAUUUGUUUUCUUUAACUAAAAGUGUUUGGUAUGUGGCAGACAAGGUGAAGUCAUUGAACACGUUGUGAAAGAGGUUCUGCAUAAGCUGAAAGUAAAACAAAGACCUCUGGACAACAAAUUGGUUGGGGUAGACAAACAAGUAGAAGCCAUAAUGGAGUUGUUAGAUGUUGACUAUGGAACAGGUGUGCGUUUCGUUGGAAUCCAUGGAAUGGGCGGGAUUGGUAAAACCACUCUUGCUAAGAUUGUUUUCAAUGAAUUAUGUCUUCAAUUUGAUGGACAAUGUAGCUUCAUUGGGAACGUCCAAGAAUCAUCAAAAGGAAAUGGCCUAGUAAAUCUGCAGAAACAGUUGGCAUCUAACAUCUCUGAUUCUAGAUUUGUAGAAAAUUUUGGUAACACCGAUGAAGGGAUAGAUAGCAUAAGAAGGAGAGCUAGUUCUAAGAAAGUUCUCAUUGUUCUAGAUGAUCUAGACAACAAAGAACAACUUAAGAAACUAGUUGGGGACCCUAACACUUUCUGUUAUGGGAGUAGGAUUAUCAUUACAACAAGGGACAAAAGAAUUUUGGAUGAAGAGAAGGGAAUAUUAGCUUAUGAAGUGAAGGAAAUGGAUCGUGAUAAAGCGCUAGAACUUUUCAGUUUGCAUGCAUUUAAUAGGGUCUCUCCUCCCAAUGCUUAUCAAAGUCUCUCUCAAGAAGUUGUAUCUAUGACCAGGGGACUCCCAUUGGCUCUUGAAGUCAUAGGUUCCUAUCUUCAUGACCAAAAGGAGGAAAUAUGGAAAGAAAUGCUAGAAAUGUUGAAGAACGUACCUCAUGAUGAAGUCCGGGGUAAGUUGAAGAUAAGUUAUGAUGCAUUAGGAGAUGCGGAAAAAGAAGUUUUUCUUGAUAUUGCAUGCUUCUUCAUAUCUAGAAAGAAAUUAUGGGCAACCUAUUUCUGGGAUGCUUGCCGUCUUUACCCCCAUAACUCAUUAAAAAAACUUACUGAUUUGUGUCUAAUUAAAAUCGUUGGCGAUGAUGCUAUAUGGAUGCAUGAUCAGCUGAGAGACCUCGGAAGAGACAUUGUUCGAAAAGAAUGUACCCUUAAUAGGUUGUGGAAUGACAAAGAAGCUCUGGAAGUAAUGAGAUCAAAAAAGGUAAAGUAAAAGUAGGAUCCUUACAUUAUCCACCGUGAAAUUACUUUCUCACUUCCCAUUUAAAAGAUUCCUUUUGGGCAUUCUAAAGGACAAAUUUAACGUUUGCAAGCUCAUACUCAUCGAUGGCUUCUAUUGGCAGAGAAAGGAUAACAUUCAAGCACUCAAUUUAGGUAAAUAUAAUUCAGAUCCCAUCAAUAUCGUGGAUGAAGAACUCGAGAGGAUGCCAAAUCUAAAAUUCCUUAGGCUAUAUGCAGUGAAUUUUGGUGGAGACAUCAACAAUUAUCUCCAAGAGCUAAGAUGGCUUUCUUGGCACUCUCCUCCUCUAGAUUGUACAAUGGCCCAUUUGCACUUAAACAAUCUAGUAUUUUUCGAACUUUCAAACAAUGAAAACACCGAAAACUGGGGUGGAUGGAACAUUUUGAAGGUGUGAAUUCGUACUUUUGCUCUCUUAACAUAGACAUAGUAUUCUUUGUUUUAUCCUCUUUGAUAAUAUUUCAGUGCCCUUUGCAGAUGGAAAACAGAUUGAAAGUUAUUUCUCUCUUAAAUUGUGAUGGAUUGAAACAGACUCUAGACUUUUCUAGAUGCGUGAGUUUGGAGAUACUCUCUCUUUCUCACUGUCAAUUCUAGAAGUUGACUCCUCUAUUAGGAAACUAAAAGAUCUUACUCACUUGCAAAUUAGUUCUUGCUUGAAUCUUCGAAAUUUGCCUAAAGAGAUUGGAGGACUAGUGAAUCUGAAGCACCUUUCUCUUGACGGGUGCUCCAAAAUCAAGAAACUUCCAGACAUCGGGAAAUUAGCAUCAUUGUCGAAGUUGGAUAUAUCAGAGACAAAAAUUACAAGUUUACCCGAUUCUAUUGGUAAUGCAAAGAACCUAUCAUCCCUUGAUCUAUCAUACACGUCAAUUGAGAAACUUCCGAUUUCUAUUGGAGAGCUUACACAACUUAAGUUCCUUUCACUCUCUAAUUGUCGAAAUUUUAUGGAGCUUCCAGAAUCAAUAGGUUAUUUGACAACAUUACAGAAUUUGGAUCUCUCAUUGACAAAAAUUGUUGAGUUACCUGAUUCGAUAAAGAAUCUCAAGCAAUUGAAGGUGAUGAAGAUGGGAUAUUGUCCAUUAUGGAGGUUUCCUAUCGGUAUUGGAAUGCUAGAGAGCUUGGAGGAGCUCAAUGUCCAAUAUUGUGAACAACUUGCAGGCGAACUCCCAACUGAAAUUGGCAAACUAUUGUCUCUAAGUAUCCUAGACAUAUCAUAUACCUGUGUUUUGGCAGUGCCGACAACAAUCAAUUCUCUCACGCGACUCCAAAAGCUAGAUUUAUCAUUUUGUGAUAAGGUUCAAGAGUUGCCAGAACUUCCCUCGAGUUUGAAUCAGCUACGUGUUCGAUCGGCAUCAUUGCAGUUAGUUCCGAAUCUCAGUAACCUCACGAAUCUAGUGGAUUUGGAACUGUCCACCAACUCUGGACAAGCACUUGCGCAGGCAUCAACUCUUCAAUUGCAAUGGGUUGGGAAGUUAUCUAAGCUGGAGCAAUUGGAGUUGUGCCUUUCGGAUCUUCUUGUGCCGUCAACGGAGUUGGGUUGCCUACCUCGACUUAAAAAACUCACCUUACCUAGCAUGGAUAGUUUCAACUCGGCAGUCGUUGGACCACAACUUUCGCACUUGAAAAUUUUGUCCACAUUGCAUCUUUGUCGAUGUCCACUGACGGAAAUUCAACUAGAUGGGCUUGAACUAUUGGGAGAUUUGACUGUGACAUACUACGAGUUUCUCAAGGGAUUGUCAGUUAUUUCAUCGAGCUUGAAGAAGCUUUCUAGAAUGGAAGUUAGUAAUUGCCCAGAGUUACUUCAAAUUCGAUUUCUCAGUACGAUGGAAUCAUUGGAGAGGCUCAUAGUUAAAUACUGCGAAUCCCUAGGAGGGUUGUAUGGUUUAUCAAACUUGAAGAAGCUGAACUUUUUAACAUUCAUCAGGUGCCCUGUGCUACGGGUUAUUGAGGACCUUGAAGAAUUGGAGCUUUUGCGGGACUUGGAUUUCAUCACGUGUCCAUCGUUGAAAGUGUUGACUAAUCUAUCCAACUCAAAGAUACCAAAUGAAUGCGAGAUAAGUAUACGGGAUUGCGAGAAGUUACCAGAAUGCUGUUUAGGCCGUUACGGGGAUUAUAGAGAGGAGAUUCUUGAUUGGACGAGGAGGGGAUUAAACCAGGUGCGCCUUCCUUCUACCCUUCACUUUAUUUUUCAAAUUUUAAUUUUUCAGAAACGCAGGCGGUAGGCAUGACUUUUCUUUCCCUUGUUCCGUUUACUUUCAUCUCUCUUUCUCUCUCUACGUUCCGCAGACAACGUGUCGUGUGGUUCUUUCUUUGUUAACAUUUCUCAAUACUCGGCCUUCUUCCUUUCAGGAGGGUGCGGCGCGGUUCUUCGAACGUGGCCAACCGCUCAUCGUACAGGUAUGGUCUCUUCUACGGACCCAAAAUUCUUCUCGCGUCGAUGAAGUGAGAAAAUUUCUUUUUCUCGAAUGUGUUGGGUGAAAAUUUUAUCUUUCAUGAACUCAAUAUAUUCUCAAAUAUUGAAGAACUUAAGUAUUGCAAAAUGAAAUUAAGGUUGUUUUCAGAAAAUAAGUUGCAGUCUCUAGAGAUCUUUGUGCUAAAACGAAAAUAAUAAAUGUUCCCUAAAACCAAAUUAACUUGAAAUUUUCUUUCAGAUACGGGGGAAUCCGUAAGCAGAGAGAUGAGUUUAAGGUAGAAGAUAGAGAUCCUAAAAUAUCACUUGAGUCAAAUUAAAUUUCAAUUACAAAAUUUUUACCUACAGGGAGUAGCCUUGUUAAUCUAGACACAUAGAUGCACUUAGUGAAUAGUCUAGAAGGUAGACACCUGAGAUGAUUAUUAACUCUCACAUGUCAACCAUACAAUUAUGAGUAUAACUAUUUCUUACACUGGAAAUUGAUGUAAUAAAAAUCCUUCAUAUAAACAAGAAAGUGAUUGUGUCAAUAUUUCCCCAACAAAAGAUAAAAAUUUGGUGCGUGGGCACGAAAGUAGAAGCUCAACUGUGGUUGGUUGUUCAAAUAGAUUUCUCUUAAACAACUACACUUUCCUUUCAUAUUUUAAAAUGAAAAUAUAAUUGUAUACAAAUGAAUAUAUGAUUUAUGUAAUUUGAAAGAUUUGAGGUGUUACAAUUGGAUGAGCCAUGAGAAAAGGGAUAACAGUGAAAAAACAUAUAACGAAAACAGAGGUAGCUUAUAAGCAGUACCCUUUGUAACAAUGUUCUACUUGUCCUGCUACGCCUGUCAGACUAACUGAAUGGUUUGGCAUUCUCCAUAAGAAGGCAAGCAUGUGAAAAUAGUACAACUCUAUCAUUUGCCCAUAUUUUACUUAUUGCUUGAUAUUACAAUUUUUUCUCGUCAAAGGAUUUACUCCAGAUUUCUAUUAAACACAUGUAGAAAACAGAUAAUUCAUGAUAUCUAUUUAUCUAAUCACGCAGCGAAACAUAUUGUUUUGUUUUGUUUUCCUGAUAGCUGAAUCUGAUAAGAGUGAAAUACGAAGUAGCCAAUGAAAUCUGGCUGAAAUAUGCACAUACUUCAUGGACAUUGAAUCAUUAUACUGCUAUAUUGUUGGAUAAUUAUGUUCAUCAAGUUCCUUUUUAUGAAUACAUGUCAAAAGCUAAUAAAAGCAGGGACUUUUGAUGAGACAUCAACAAUCAUCACCUGAAGUUAAGAUGGCUUUCUUGAGGUUUUCCUCCUCUAGAUUGUAGAACGGCCAAUUUGCACUUUAAAAAUCUAGUAACUUCCAAACUUUCACACAAUUAAAACACCAAAAACCAGGGAAGUUGAAAAUUUUUGAAAGUCUGAAUUUGUACUUUUGUUCUCUCAACAUAGAAUUUUACUUCUUAUUUUUUCCUUUGACGCCGCUCUGAUAAUGUUUCAGCUACUUUUGUAGAUGCUAGAAGAAUUGAAGGUUCCAUAUCACAAAGACUGGGAUGGAUUGAAAUGGACUGGUUACCCUAGUUUGGAGACAUUGUAUUUUCACUACUGUCUAAACGUGCGAAAAUUUGACUCCUCUAUUGGGAAGAUGAAAGUUCUUACUCACUUGGACAUUAUUCGGUGUACGAAUCUUCGAACUUUACCCGAAGAGAUUGGAGGACUGGUGAAUCUGAAGCACUUGUCUAUCAAAAAGUGCUCCCAAAUGGAGAAACUUCCAUACUCUAUAGGGAAAUUAGGAUCAUUGUCUAAGUUGGAUAUAUCAUCCUCAAGAAUUACAAGUUUACCUAAUUCAAUUGGCAAUGCGAGACAUCUAUCAUUCCUAAAUCUAUCAGGCACGCCAAUUGUGGAACUUCCAAUUUCUAUCGGAGAGCUUACGCAACUCGAGUUUCUUUCUCUCAAAUAUUGUUGAAAUUUGGGGGAGCUUCCAGAAUCAAUAGGCAACUUGACAUUGUUACAGAAGUUGAAUCUCUCAGGGACAAACAUUGUUGAGUUACCUAAUUCGAUAAAAAAUCUGAAGCAAUUGAAGGUGAUGAGGAUUGGAUUUAAUCCGAUAAGGAGGUUACCUGCCAGUAUUGAAAUGCUAGAGAAGUUGGAGGAGCUCUAUGCCGAACAUUGUGAACAACUUGCAGGCGAACUUCCGAUUGAAAUUGGCAAACUAUUGUCUCUACGCAUCCUAGACAUUUCAUAUACCCAUAUUAGUGCAGUGCCGAUGGCAAUCAAUUACCUCACGCGACUCCAAAAGCUGGAUCUAACACAUUGUGAUGAGCUUCAAGAACUGCCGAAGCUUCCCUCGAGUUUGCAUUGUAUACGUGUUCACUCGGCAUCAUUGCGGUUAGUUUCGAAUUUCAGUAACCUCACGAAUCUAGUGGAAAUGCUUUUGUCUAACGGCUUUGGACAAGCACCUGCCCAACCAUCAAACCCAAUGCAAACUUUCCAAUUGCAAUGGGUUGGAAAGUUAUCUAAGCUGGAGAAGUUGAGCUGGGGCCUUUCAUAUUUUCCCAUUUCGUUAACAGAGUUGGGCUGCCUACCUCAACUUAGAGAACUCACUUUAUCUGGCAUGGACAGUUUUAACUCGAUAGUUGUUGGACCACAAUUUUCCAACUUGAAAAAUUUGUCCAUAUUGUGUCUUCAUGGCUCUCCACUGAGGGAAAUUCAAUUGGAUGGGCUUGAACUUUUGAGAAAUUUAGGUGUGAGAGAAUGCGAGUUUCUUGAGCGACUAUUAGUAAUUUCAUCAAGCCUGAGGAAACUCUAUAAAAUGGAAGUUUUACAUUGCCCAAAGCUACUUGAAAUUCAAUUUCCCAGUACAAUGGUAUCAUUAGAGGAACUUCGAGUUGGCAACUGCGAUUCCCUGAGAGGGUUGCACAAUUUAUCAAACUCGAAGAAGCUGAAGGCUUUGCAGAUCUACCAAUGCAAUGGGCUAUGGCUUGUUGAGGGCCUUGAGGAAUUGGAGCUUUUAGGUUUUUUGUAUCUUUCUAGGUAUGGAUUGUUGGAAAGGUUGACUGAUGUAUCCGACUCAAGAUACCAAAUGGAUGCAUGAUAGAAAGUAUGGGGUUGCAUGAAACUAACUAGUUAUGAGGGCACUUACCAGGGUUACAAAGAGAUGAUUCUUGUCAAGACGAGAAUGACAUUCAUUGAGGUGUGGCUUCCUUCUACCUUUCACUUAUUUUUCAGAAACGCAUGCAGUAGGCAUCACAUUUNNNNNNNNNNNNNNNNNNNNNNNNNNNNNNNNNNNNNNNNNNNNNNNNNNNNNNNNNNNNNNNNNNNNNNNNNNNNNNNNNNNNNNNNNNNNNNNNNNNNNNNNNNNNNNNNNNNNNNNNNNNNNNNNNNNNNNNNNNNNNNNNNNNNNNNNNNNNNNNNNNNNNNNNNNNNNNNNNNNNNNNNNNNNNNNNNNNNNNNNNNNNNNNNNNUGUUUCUUACAAGAGCAAUGGGCUUAAUAAAGAUCCUUUACAUAACUAAACAAUGAUUAUAUUAAUAUUUCACCAAGCAAAGAUAAAAAUCAUGCUCUCUACACUAAUCCAUUAGAGUUUAAAAGAAAUAGUAAAUUAUAUAAAAACAAAUAUACGAUUUAUGUAUUUAGAAAAAUUUGAAGUGGUACUUAUUGGAUAAGCCAUGAGAAGAGGAAAAAUAGUGAAAAAAGGUGUACCAGGAGCAGAGCUUAUAUGCAAUGCCCACUAGUUAACAAUGUUUUACUUAUCGAGCUAUGCCGAGCAAAUUGCAACUGUUUGGUGUAAGAACGGGCAUUUCACCUGUUACUGUCAGUGAGAUGGGGACUCACUAAUGAUUGUACCAUCAUAGACUUGGUCGUGUGACUGGCUUUGCCCUACGUUCAUAAAUGCUUGUGAAGCGAACGACUGUAAUGUUUGGACUUUAGGGCAGGCCGAUUAGAUCAUAUUUACAUUUUCUUGUCCUCCAAUAUAGGUAGAAGACUAAUUCAUAUGUUUCCCGUUCUAGGAGGAUGAAAUGGAGGAGAACGACCGCAUUGAUUGUUCCACGGGCAUAUUAGAAUGUAUCUGCAAUCCCUUAUCAUUUUUUCAAGGGAGGAGUCUUCGGAGGCAGACAGGAUAAGUAAAUUGUCUUGCAGGAUAAUGCAGACGUGGAGUCAGGAAAAAUUGAAUUGAUCUCUAUGCAUUUUGGUUAGGGGUACAACAACUAAAUCGAUGGCUCCAAGAGAAUGCUUUCACUCUUUUUGAUGAACUCAAGUGCACAGAGGUCGAGGGACCAGUUUCCCGGAAACAGGAAUGCAGUUUGCAUGUGGAUUUACUCUGCUUCGAGGAUUUGCUAACUGUCCAUUCGUUGAGAGGUAAGUCAUUCCCUCUGUGAAUAUCAAAUUGCUUGCCACAUAGAAGCAUGGUCAAGAUUCUUGACAACUUAGACAAUAGUUUCCAAUGCAUAUGAUACUUUUAUCUGGGUAAAUGAAUGAUUCUACCAAAAUCUCUCAAAUAACUGACGAGUGCNNNNNNNNNNNNNNNNNNNNNNNNNNNNNNNNNNNNNNNNNNNNNNNNNNNNNNNNNNNNNNNNNNNNNNNNNNNNNNNNNNNNNNNNNNNNNNNNNNNNGUCCCAAACGGUGAUCAUUAGAUCAAAUAUUGCAUGAACGCCCCCUAAAUAUGUCAAGAUUACUAACACGUGCAAUCCUUGGCCCUAGCAUUAUGCUGUCACGGAUGACUAGAUUUAAUAGGAGAAAAUAUUAGUCUUUCCUGUGCCAAUGUGUGAAGUGGGAAAAACUGAUGGUAGAAGAGACUAAUUAGAAGAUUAUCUGCAAGCCAUUCUAAUUUCUUCUAGGAUGAGGUUGUAGUGGCAGAAGCAAAAGCAGACACUACUGACGUCUUCUCAAUUCUCAAGAGUCUGACGUCGAGCAUUCACUUGAGUUUUUGCAACAACAAUUCUAAUUUCAUUUUGUUCGGUUCUCAUCCAAUCAAAUCAUCAAAUCUCAUUUGGCUUUCAUUUCAUUGUUUAUUUUCAACUCAUUUACAGCUCUUGUUUCUUCUCAAAUCAUGCAUACUUGCAGCUCGCAUGCUCCAGACACGAACUCUUUUGAUAUAUGCAACAAGCAUGGACUACUCAUGUAUAUGAUCAUAAGUAGCCUCAUGUCGAAAUAGAAAAUAGUACUCCCACAAUUCUCCUCUUUCCUUCAGCACCUCACCAUCUCAAAGUAACAUGCAGGAUCACCAUUUGACAUACACAAUCACAUAUGAACAAGAUUUGAUCCACACAAACACUUAUGAGCAGCAUUUAACAUACAUCACCUAUAUAUCUAAUUAGUUCACAUUCCAAUCAGCUAUAUACGGGAAAUCUAGCAAAGACACAACAAACGCAACUUCCAUUGAACAUUGAGACAUUGGUAAACAGAAUGAAAUAGGAACUAUCUUCGAUAGAGUCGGGCAUUCCGCUGAAAAGGUUGUGAGCAUGUGGUGUGAAGUACUAACACCAGAAUGGCAUAGAGUAAUACAGAACACAAACAUCAGAGUAGAAAAUCCAUGCGUACAAGCAAUUCUUACUACUUAAUUGGAAAAGAAACAACCUGGCGGUGAUGAGGUGAUGACGCACAGCAAUCAUGAGGUGGCUGUUGCUAUGGUUCAUGUUCCAACGCCCCGACUUCAUCUCCACAGAAUGCCCUCAAGCUCAUUGGUCUCCUCUGUUUUCUUAUGGACAACAUCAGAAUUGACGCAAACAGAACAGAAAUGAAAAGACAACCGAAAGCAAUCGAAAUCAAUUUUAAAAUUAAUCGGAGACGAAGUGACCUGGCAAGUGUGGCUCUCAGUUGUACUUAUAAAGCUAUGCCUAGCAAACUGUAACUGUUUGGUUUGCAGUCACCUUAGAAAGGCAAGCAUGCGAAAUAGUACAACUCUAUCAUUUGUCAAAACUUUAAAUAUUGCUUGGUAUUCAUUUGUUUUUCUUUGUCUAAGGUUUAUUAAACAGAAAAAUUUGUGAAAAAAGAAGAAGAAGAUGCCUGUACAAAACAAAUAGUUCAUGAUAUCACGUACACUUUAUCUAAUGAAAUGGCGGAAUGUAUGUUUUUCUUUUCCCUGAUAGCUAAAUCUAAUUAGAGCGAAAUAUGAAGUAGCCAAUAAAUUAUUGGUGAAAUAAUUACAUGGUUAAUAGAUAUAUAAUCAUCAUACUGCCAAUAGUUGGAUAAUUAUGUUGAGUUCAUCAAGUCCUUUCAUAUAGAUAUUUGCCGGAAAUUAAUAAAGCCAUGGAUUAUGAUAGAUCUGCUGGCACUCGUUUGCAUAAUUAGUUUUCAACGUGAUGUGUAAAUCAAGGUGUAUAAUGUACAGCUUGGUUUAUGCAUGAUCCAUAAAUAAAAUAAAAUACGCAUUGUACCUUAACUAUGAUAUGAAGCAUUGGAAUGGUUGGACUUCGAAGCAGAUGGAUUGGAUAAGAAGACUGAUUCAUUUUUUCUUGUACUAGGAAGAUGCAACGGAAACAGAUGCAGAAGAAUCAGUGAUGGAGACCAAUAACUACUAUUCUCGGAACUUGCCAUUGACUAUAGGUUUUCUAUGGUCUCCAGAACUCGAUACUGAGCUCGAUUCUACAAGUAAGUCACUGCUGUUAAAAUGAAUAUAAUGUCAUCCUGUCACACAAAUUAACAUCUGUUAGCUUAUCAACGUACAAAAACUAACAGGAAUCGAACUAAUCUUUGGAUGUUCUGCUGCUGCUAUUUUGGAUCUAAUAUCAUCUAUUAGCUUCCCUCAAUAGUACAAACUAUUCUUGCAGGCUUGAAUAAUUCCAAGUUCUUCCACGAACCACAUCUUCGGAUGUUUCCAGAAGUUUAUGCUCAAUUCUAUAAGCAAAAUGUUACUGAUUCUAGCAAUGGAGAGAUGAAUGAAUUCACAAUGUGAUCGAGUUUGGGAACCUGUGAAAUUGCCAGAAGUAAUGGAGUUUGCUCUAAGGACAUGUCCCCCCUCUCCCAGGUCCAUCACAAGAGAAAAUUUUUGUGGAUUUGUCCGAGGUAAUUAAUUCCGUUUUGUGAAAACCCAUUUGUGUGCCACAUCGAUUUCCAAUACAUACGAUACUUUUCUCAAAGGUGUGCAAUAUCGGACCAGGUCAAGCUCUAGGUAUCGGUAUGUUCUUCUAAUUAUUUGUGCCUUAGGUCCCUCUUUUUUGUCAUGCCGUAAGAAGUCAUUUUUAAGCAGUUAAAGAAGAAGAAGACCUAAUUCUCCAGAUAACCCAGUAUUUCGGAGUCAGUAGCGAUGAUUGUUAUCACUUUUUUGGUCAUAUACAGCAAGGCACUGUUUCUUUAUCCAUUUUUGGUAGAUUAAUGGUUCUAUCAAAGUUGCUCAAAUAACUUAGUAAUGCCAAAAUACGAAAAAAAUAAAAAUAAAAUGCACGAAACAAUCAAACUGGAAAUAGACUGUAUAUGGGGCUGUUGAUCCUUAAUCUAAACUAGCUCACAGUACACAUGAACUUGAAAAGAAAAAUGACAGUGAAAUAAGAAAGUGGUGACAGUAAGCCUCUUGACAAAACUCUUCUCCCUUUGCAGAUAUGGAGGAGAGCUCUAUUCCUAUGUGCUACAGAUUGAGUUCCCGGGAAACGGAUUUUUGGACUUCACUGGAUAAAGCAGGCCACUGAGGGACUAGUUUUCGGGUUGAUUACGCUGAAGCUACAGUGGAAUGGUUUCAUAUGCAAUAUAUGGAGAGUUAGGAAUGACUUGCUGCAUAAUUAACUUGCUCCUCCUGGUUGUGAUGAAUCCCCUUGUGUUUGCGGUAAGAUAUAGCAUCGAAGGGUGCGUAAGCUGGUGCAGAAAAAAGUUAUUCUGACUUGGCAUUUGCCUGAAGUGUAUUGGUAUGCUUGGCCUUUAAUAACUAGUCUUGUAACUGUUUUGGAUAUUUGGGCAGUUAGUGUUCACGUUCUAGUUGGAGCUAAGAUUGUUGCUUGAGUAGUGUGCUAACGAUAUUAUUAGGUUUGGAUAAAUUAUAUUGAGUGGACAAUUUGAUGGAGAUCUUUGAUGAAUCGACUUUGAGGAUGGUAGGUCUCAAGGGUUCUUUAUUUAUUUAUUUGGGUAGGUCUUGAGUUUGAAAAGCUGGAAUUCAAUGUAUUUAGGUUUCAUUGAUUCACUAAAUAAUGAUUAUCACCACAAAAAUGAUUCUGGUCACCUGUUAAUUAUCACCACAAAAACGAAAUGUCUUGAUUAACUAAACAAUGAUUCAAGUGAUUUGGAAGAGCUAUGCUGAUGAUUGUAGGGAGCUGCACGAUGAACUUCCUCCUGAACAAUGGAGAUCGGACCAUUUGAGAAAAGCAAGGGCUGGGAUCAAUUCGUUGAAUUUUGCCGAAACGGACUAGGCAGGAUGGGCAGCAAGAAGGGCGACAUCAUGAGCGUUGGUUAGUGUCGUGAUCAAACGGUCCCAGAUUGAAACAAUUUGAUCCAAAGGUGGGGAACAACGACGAGCUUAACUUCCUCGGCAAGUUUUGCACGCUAAGAACACAAUCGACGCAUUUCUAGAAGUUUAUUUACCUUUUAGACCAUCUAGAUCAUAAUCGAUGAAGCUUGAGAUUGGGGGCAAGUGGUUGACUCCAUGCUACAUCUUGCGUCAGAUCAUCAUCUCGCAACUUCCUCUGUAAUUUAUUAGAGAAACGCUCCUGUAACAAUGAAUCGGUAUAGUGAUUUUACGACUCUCAUAGAAAAGCCAACAAUAUCAUGCUCUAAUUCUUAUUUAUUAGGAUAUUACCUACGUUCUUCAAAUUCAUCAUGAGCUUGUUAAACUCAUCUGAGCGGUCUUUGGUGGAAGUACAUUUAGCAUGUUGAAACUGAAAUGUCAUCUUCAACAUAUAUGAUAAUUAUUUAAACCCUUUCUCAUGUAAAGAGCCCGAAAUUUUCCUCAUAAUGCUGCGGCAUGUCUCUUCUCAACCGCUUUUAUUAAAACCUAAUCCAACGAUAUCGAUAUGAUUAUACUAUUUGCCCUCUCCAUUAACUCAUCUUUAUUGGCAUCUUUGAUCAUUUUCAGCAACUUAGCCUUGCCGUCCAAUUUCUCAUCUCACUUCGCUGCCCAAUUUGUUCUUUCCAUUGAACUUCUGAAUUUCUAUUUUUGCCUUAGACAGAAUUGCAACAACAAAAUUUCGAAACAAUGAUCAUACAAGCAAAAACCCUAAAUCAAAUAUAGAAAGAUCCUAAACUUAGCUCUAAUACCAAUUAUCGUAAAAUUAAUGCGAAAGCUAAUCGGAUCCUAUUAUUAGAUCAACGAGCAAGCAUGAAAUAACCAGAUAAAUCAACAAGGAACAAUAAGAAAUGCAUGAAGUCCCAGUGUCAGUAUCUACUUUAGAGGGAGAUCGGUUGCAAAUUAUCCACUAAUCAAUCGAAGGAUUAUAAAGUACGACAGCUCACAUUUUCAAGCGCUUCUCAUUCCACCUAAAGCACAGUGUUUAGCCUUAAGAAGAAUUACGGUUUGAAACACCCGCAUCUCCGGAAAGAGAAGGGAGGAUGUAACUCUUCGCGCAAAAAACGAUCACCGUGAGUUCCUCUUCCUCUCCGCGUAGCUAGAAGGACACCUCCACCUUUUUACUUUUCUUUUUACGCGGCUGAAGGGGAUGAGAAAAUUAGAACCCACGCCUUUGCAUUUUUCUUCCUCUGACAAAUCUACUGAACCCACAAGUAUAUAUAGAAUAUGAGAGCCCCUUCUUCUUCUUUUGUACGGCCAAAAUAAGUCCCUCCUCCACAUGCGAUAUAGACAAAGAGCCCAAGAAGUCGAAUCUGUCAAACAUAAAUACACUUCAUCGAACAGAAAACAAAAUCAAAUUUUCCAAAGCCCAAAAGGUCCAAAUUUGACUUGGAUUAAAGCGAACACCAAAUUUGAACAAAUCAAAAUCCUUUGAGGUUUCAUGCACAUUUCAAAACUCGAGACAUAACUUAACAAAAAGUAGGUCGCUAAGGUAUUAGUAAAGGUCUAGCAUCGAAUGGCCCAAGUUGCCGCAGCAAAAAGUUGAUCCCCAGCUUAGUUUGAUGGAGAAAUGAAUUUAACUUGCCCGUUAGAAUAACUCAUCUUUUCCUGUUCUAGGAUGAUAAGAUGGAGAAAAAUCUGGAAUAUAAAAAAUCAAAAAAGACAGCAUUGAUCGUUCCGUAGGCAUAUUACCAUGUAUCUGCAAGCCCUUGGGUUUUCCAAGUGAGAAGUCUUCGCAGGCAGACAGGAAAAGUACAUGUCUUGCAGGACUAUGCAGACGUGGUGUCAGGAAAAACUGAAUGGAUCUCUAUGCAUUAUGGUUAAGGGAAUAAAAGCUAAAUCGUGGCUCCAAGGGAAUACUUGCACUCUUCUUGAUAAACUGAUGUGCAUUGUGGUCAAGGGACAAGUUUCCUGGAAACAGGAAUGCAAUUUGCAUAUGCAAUCUACUCUGCUUUGAGGAUUUACUAACUGUCCAUUCGUUGAGAGGUAAGUCACUCCCUUCAUGAAUAUCAGAUUGCUUGCCACAUGCAAGCAUCAUCAAGAUUUUCGACAACUUAGAUAAUAGUUUCCAAUGCAUAUGAUACUUUUAUCUAGGUAAAUGAAUGAAUCUACCAAAAUUUCUCAAAUAACUUACAAGUGCAAAAAACCAAAAGGAGAAAUGAAGAGAAAACAAGCUGAAGUAGGCAACUUUGGGAUAUCCCAAAUGGUGAUCAUUAAAUGAAUAUUGUACGAACACCUCCAAAAUUUCUCAAGAUUACUAACAUGUGCAAUCCUUGGCCCAAGCAUUAUGCUGUCACGGAUGACUAGAUCUAAUAGGAGAAAAUAAUAGUCUUUCUUGUGCCAAUAUCUGUAAAGUGGGCAAAACUGAUGGUAGAAGAGACUAAUUAGUUGAUUAUCUGCAAGCCAUUCUAAUUUCUUCUAGGAUGAGGUUGCAGUGGCAGAAGCAAGGACAGACACUACUGACUACGUCUUCUCAAUUCUCAAGAGUCUGACAUCGAGCAUUUACUUGAGUUUAUGCAACAACAAUUCUAAUUUCUUUUUGUUCAGUUCUCAUCCAAUCAAAUCUUCGAAUCUCAUGUGGCUUUCAUUUCAUUGUUUAUUUUCAACUCAUUUACAGCUCUUGUUUCUUCUCAAAUCAGGCAUACUUGCAGCUCGCAUGCUCCAGACACAAGCUCUUUUGAUAUUGCAACAAGCAUCGAUGACUCAUGUAUACAAUCAUAAGUAGCCUCAUGUCCAAGUAGAAAAUAGUACUCCCAGCAUUCUCCUCUUUCCUUCAGCACUUCACCAUCUCAAAGUAACAUGCAGGAGCACCAUUUGACAUACACAAUCACAUAUGAACAGGAUUUGAUCCACACAAAUAUUUAUGAACAGCAUCCGAUAUACAUCACCUAUAUAUCUAAUUAGUUCACAUUUCAAUAAACUAUAUACGGGAAAUCCAGCAAAGGCACGACCAACGCAACUUCAAUUGGACAUCAAGACGUUGGUAAACAGAAUGCAAUAGGAACUGUCGAAAAGGUUGUGAGCAAGUGGUGUGAAGUACUAUUAACACCAGAAUGGCAUAGAGUAAUACAGAACAGAAACAUCAGAGUAGAAAAUCCAUGCGUACAAGCAAUUCUUACCACUUAAUUGGAAAAGAAACAACCUGGCGGUGAUAAGGUGAUGACACGCACGGCAAUCAUGAGGCGGCUGUUGCUAUGGUUCACGUUCCAACGGCCCGACUUCAUCUCCACGGAACGCCCUCAAGCUCAUUGGUCCCUCUGUUUUCUUAUGAACAACAUCAGAAUUGACACAAAACAGAACAGAAAUCAAAAGACAAAUCCGAAAGCAACCGAAAUCAAUUCUAAAAUUAAUCGGAGACGAAGCGACCUGGCAGGUGUGGCUCUCAGUUGAUGGAUUUCGUCAUCCCCGGAGCGUCGUGGAGCAGGAUAUAUGGCAGCGGAGAUGAAAACGCAGCGGAGGAUCGGAGAUAAAGCCGCCGGAGUCAUCGCUACUCCCAGAGGAAUAGCAAUCGAAGGAGCGAAUAGAGCCGCGGGCGAUUAAGAGGAGCAGCGACGACGACAACGAUGGAAGGUGCGUAGCGACCAUGGAACCGCGAGCCAACAUCAAACCGCCGGAGAAACUGGUGCACGGAUACGUCAGGACACUUGAAUCGGCGGCGACGAUUCCCCUCUGGCGAACCUCGAAACGAAGGAAAAUGGAGCUUCCGGCGAGAGCCCCGACGAAGGAUUUGAGAGUUCUCCAUCUCAGAGCAAGGAUCUACAUUCUCGGUCGCUAUGGAGCGCGGGCUCUUAAUAAAAUAUAUUUUAGCGGGAUUUCUUGGUACAUAAUAGCAUUUCUAUUCUAAAAAGUUAAAAUGUAUGCAAGUCCUUCAUCUUCUAGUCCAACUUCCCCGAUUUCCCACUAUUUCUUCGAAUUUUUGGGCAAAUUAGUUAUUAUUUCGAAUCUAAUAGUGAACAUGGAAAACAUUAAAGGGAAGCAACAACUUAUAAGCAGUAGAUACAUAUUCAAUCGAUUAUGCAGUCCAUGACGAAGCACCGUGACGAUAUUCAAGAAAUGCAAUAGCUUAUGAGUGAAAUGUCCAUAUUCAAGAUAUCUAGCCAACGGUUCAACUAAAUCUCGAUAUUCUUUAUACAUGAUGAUCUUGUAGAGCUAAAUGCAACUAUGUCGAAGGAACAAAGUUCACUUCAUCUUAAUAAGAGUAGGAUGCAACAAUGGAUUGAGAUUCUCAAUCAUUAGCAGUCUAGUCAUGUUAGUAGACACAAGCAUCUUUGAUAGUGAUUUACUUUUGUCAAUGGGAUGAAAACCACAUUUCCUAACAGUUAUAAUGGAAGAGAGUAUAAUCAAGAUUUAAAGCUUUUUGAAUGGUCUGAUAAAAUCCUAAAAUUUGUCUAAAGAGUGCAAUUGGAUACUUCUAUUAGCACCCUUAGUUUGGAGCGACAAAAAAAUUCCAAUGCGACUUUAUACAAUAUUUUGGAGGAUACUCGAUGCCAGACACCAAUCAACAAAAUGGACUAGAAACUUGAAAAAAUUUAGGGAGGGGUGGGAGAAGGGGGUGGCGCUGCCGCACCUCUAUGGACAGCAGCGGCGACCAACCCUCUCGCGGCCACUCACACGAGUACCACAGCGUUUCCAUGAGGGCAAGCACCUCAGCAAAUUGAUACCACGUCAUCGCCUCAUCAAAGGUUGAGCACAAAUGUAAGCCCUUACAUGUUAACGUACGGGCAAGAAGCUGUUUUUCUUUUGAAAAUAACUACUCAAUCCCUGAGAGUUAGGUUACAAACGACAUGUUAAUGAAAGACUGCGAACGAUCGAUGUAUAUGAAUUUAGAUGAGUUGGAUGUAAUUAGAUCAUUGGACACUUGAGUAUAGUACUGCAAGAGAUGCAGGAAAAUAAAUCACAAAGCCGCGAGGAAUGAUCAGAAGAAAAUCUGCAUUGAUGUUCUUUUUCUUUAGGUCAAAGUCAUUCCUUUACAGUAGUUAUAAAUAUCGGAAGGCAUUCCUCCAUUUUUCUAUAGGUUUCUAUAAAUUGGUGCCUGAUGGAUGAGUGGUUCUUGAUCUCUGGAUGUCGCUCAUCACAAUUCUGCAUAAGCACGUCGACUUUCCUCUGCUUUUCCUUCAUAAGCUUCCCUUCGCGAUGAAUGACGGCUGCUUCAAUUUGAUGCUCAAUAUCAGCAAUAAAUGUUUGGAGCCUCUCUUUUCCCUCUGCAAGCUAAGCCUUCUUUCAAAGAUCUCUCCCUCAUGACAAAGUCGAACUUGUAGCCCUCCAAAGCUUUCUUCUAUGGCUUUUGACACUUUCAUUUGCUUUUGCUUGCAGUUGUACCUAAAAGCUUCAAUGCCAUCCUCAGAGAGAGUAUAAAAUUCUUCAUACUCGUGCUGAUAUUCAGUAAGAUUAAGUCUGUCUUCAUCCUGGAUCAGUUAGACCAGCAGAAACUUUAUAUUCUUUUAUUUUCGAGGUCUGAGUCAGAGGCACUGUGGGAAUAUCCACACCAAAGGAGUAAAUAUAAUUCUUCCCACUCGGCUUCAGCUCUUCAGAAAUUGAUGGGCUAAGAUGGCCAGAUGAUGAAGCCAUACCGACAAUAAUUGAGUUCAACUCCUGGUCGAUUUUAGGGUUGACAAUGCUGAGCAAUCCUUGAGUUCUGUUUCGCUUGGCCAAGGGAGUCUUUUCUACUUCUUCUUUGACAAUGACUGUUGACGACUUUCGUUUGCAGGUUUCAACUGCAAUCGAGAGAAAGACGUUAGAUGGUUAUUAAAGGACGAAAGGAAAGAAGGAAAUGACAAACAAAUUUUUACCAAGUCCUGUCCUGUAAUUACUCGAGUAUUGAUAAUGAUGGGUUCGAUGGGGAUGCAUUAGAAGUUUGAAACACUCCAAACAGAUCAUCCUUCUUUCACCUUCUCUAAAAAUGAAUCGCCGCCUUUGACAAACAUCCAAUUGGAACACAAAUUCCACCACCCAUUAAAAAAAAAAAAAUCGUGCUCUGUGGGUUCUUGAGGAAUGGAAUAUGCAUGUACCGAUUGAAUAUAUUGAGGCAGCUGUCGACGUAAUGCAAUGUCGCAUCUGUGCUCAGUUUGUGGAGAGAGGAAGUUUCGUUUGAUAUAUAGUUGGCCUAGGAAUUCCCUGAGCCAACCCACACUGUUGAGCACAAUAUUUAGGAUGAUAAACCCAGAAAUCGGGGAAGAAUAUUUCUCUGUUUGACAAAUUUAAGAGGAUGAUCAACAGAAGUCCUCCAGAAUCUCUCAAUCAUGGCCGAGCCAUUAUAAGAGCAAAUAAAGAAGUAGGAAUAUCUAUGGGAAAGAAGUUGAGAUUUUUACGCCUUAGGUUGCAAUAUGAAAAUACUUGGAUUGGGGCAAACUCUAGGUUAGUAUGUUCAACUAAUAAUUUUAAUGCCUUAGGUCGCUCUUUUUUUAAAGUCGUAAGAAGUCAGUUUUAAACAGUUAAAGAAGAAGAUGACCUAAUUCUCCACAUAAUUCAGUAAUUCAGAGUAAGUUGCUGUAAUUGUUAUCAAUGUUUUGCUACCACAAACCACUGUUUCUCUUUCCUUCUUUGGUAGAUUGACUGUUCUGCCAAAGUUGCUCAAUAACUAAAGAAUUAAAAUAAUAAAAUAAGGGAAAAAUGAAGAAACAAUCAAGCUGGAAAUAGACAGUUUUUGGGACCGCUGAUCGUCAAAAAUCAACUUAGUAAUAGCUCCUUGAAAAUCUGUCAAGAUUUUACUAACAUGCACAAUCACAAUAGAUGGCCCUGCAUUUCUCAGCCAUUAGAUGACUAGACCUAACGGAAGAAAAUCUCUGUUUUUCCUCUGCCGAUGUUUGCAAAUUAGACAAAGCUAAUGGUCAAACAAAAAUGGUUGGAUGAUAUGGGCAUUUGCACAUUCCAUAAUGCUAGCCAAAGAGCAUUUGUAAUGACUAUGUUUUUCCUCUGCCGAUGUUUGCAAAUUAGACAAAGCUAAUGGUCAAACAAAAAUGGUUGGAUGAUAUGGGCAUUUGCACAUUCCAUAAUGCUAGCCAAAGAGCAUUUGUAAUGACUAUCAUUAGAACCUUUGUUCAAGUAAUUCACUGGUAAUGGCAGAAGAGACUAAUUAGAUGAUAUCUGCAUUUUUGCAUCCUACAAUGCUAGUCAAAGAGCCAUUCGAAUUUUCUUCUAGUAGGUGGCGGUGGAAGAGGCAAUUGAAGGAUUGAUGGCAGAUACUCAAGCAAUUUACUGCUAUUAAUUUUCUGUUCUGCUAUCAUAUAGCGCAAUGUACAUCAGCAUGUUUUCCAUUUACUGCUAUCAUUUUGCAGGUGCACCUGCCUGGCGCAUCUUUGGAUGUUUGACAAAUGGUACUACAACUUUUUAUCCAGUGCCGAUAUCAUCUGUAGGCCGGUGUGUUGUCAAGUAUUGAUGGCGUUGAACUCCAAUUGAAAUAUGUUCUCCAGCUUCUCUCUGGUCUAAUACUUCAUUUCAAGUUCUUCUUCAUGAGAUGCUGCCUCCCUUGGCCGUUGUGUGAUUUGGUAUAUGAGUAGGAUUCUUCAAAGUAAUUGUAAUGUCACUACCUAAAUUAUGAAGAAAGCUGGCACAGAGUUAAUAGAGAAAUGCCAAAAGCAAGUUAAUCACGGCAUAACAAUGAGAAAUGUACGAAGAUAUCCCUCCAUAAGGCAUGAGGCAAGAUAUUUGGAGUUCAAUUGUAUUGGAUGCAACAUUUGCGGUUCCUUGAUUUAUGGACUUCGGCCCAGUGGGGUCCUUGAUCUCAGGGCACUAUAUUGAUUGAGUGAUAUAAUCUGAUUACCAACUAGACUAUAAGCUUGGGGCCUAGGCUGAUGAGGGUGUAAAAGCGAAUCCUGCUUGAUUUGUCGAAGCUCAUAGUACACAUGAACUUGAAAGAAAAAAGAAAGCGGAAUAACAAAAGUGGAAACAACAUGCCUCUUGACAACUUUCUUCUCUCUUCACAGAUACAGAGGAGAGCUCUAUUGCCAUGUGCUAUUGUUCGAGUUCCUGGGAGUUGGACUUUUGGAAUUCACUGGAUAAAGCAGGCCAGUAAGGGACUAGUUUCAGGUUGGUUAUGCCGAAGCUAGUGCAGAAAGGUUCCAUAUACAAUCUGCGGAGAGCUAGGAGUGACUUGCUGCAUAAUCAAGUUACUCUGGCUGUUGAUGUUGUGAUGAAGUCUCUUAUGUUUGCAGUAAGACUAGGUAUCGAAGGGCCCAAACUGCUGCAGCAAAAAGUUAAUUCUAAUUUGACAUUGGCCUUAAGUUCGUAACUGGUAAAUUUGAUGUAACAGAACGUAAAUUGGUGUGCUUGAUCUUUAGCAACUAGUCCUGUAACUGUUUUGGAUAUUUGGGCAGUUAUUAUUCAUGUUCUGGUUGGAGCUGAUGUUGUUGCUUGAGUAUUUUCCUGCUUAUCUGUCGUACUCAGCCGCCAGUAAUGGUUUGCUGAACGUGAUCACCUGUUUGUGACUUGCACUGGGUUUGGCUUCCCAGCAUGGUUUGAUGAAGAAAUGAAUUUAAAUUGCCCAUAAAAAGAUAUGUAUUUAAAAAUAUUUUCAAGCAUGAUAGGGACAUACAUUCUUGUUUGAAGAAAGACAUUGCGAGAGUCAUCCCUUCGAAAAGGUCCUCAAAUCCACUAUUUAUCAUGGUGGUAGGAGUCCCUCCUUUAAUCUGAAUACGAAAAUGAAACGUGGAUAUAAGGGGCGUGGGCACAGUAAGAGAAAAAUGGACACCAACAAUUUUGGAAAUAUUGUUGGUUUUGGAUAAACAAUAUUGAGUAGAUAAUUUUGGAAAAAAUUCAUCUAUAUGAUGAAGAUCUUUAAUUAAUCAACUUUCAAGAUGGUAGGUUAUCAUUUGAAAAGCUGGAAUUUGACAGGAGGUUUCAUUGUAGGAUAAUACUUUUUGUUCAUACCAUCAUUGGGCCAUCUACUAGCAUCGAUGUAUGGAAAUAUCACGAUGUAUACUAUUUAUACAGUAUAUAUAUCCUCAUCUCACAUAAUCAUGAAUUUUAUAUAAAUGAGAUUCAUACAAUAUGACAUAUAUAACAUGCACACUAAGUAAUUUCUUCUCGGAGAGGAGUUAUAGACUAUGUAGGAUGGCUCUUUUGUAUAUGCACCAAAACCUUAGAUCAACCCUCAAUACUUCUUUGACCACUUAACUAUAGUUGCUUAAUUCAUGUAAAAUCCUUUCCUGGAAGCAGCUUGACUGUUCAUGUAACCGUACAAGCCGUGCCAACCUCCUUUUUCACUUUUGCAAAAAGAAAAUGUGAUCACAUAAAUGGUCGAUCAAAGGAGAAAUUAUUCUAUGUACUUACAAUAUGCACUAAACUAAAUCUAGAUUGCCAAAUUUGGUGGACCACCAGUGAUUUUAAUGGUCCAUAUUCAAUUUGAUAUAUAUACUGCGCUCAUGUAAUAUAAUUUCUGCAAUCAGAAGCCAAUGGUAAGAGGAGAGUUAUCUAUGUUGGUUUCAGUAUUGCAAGAAAAUUUUCCUCUUUGGCCAUGUCCGGAGUAUAAUUUGUUAUGAGAUUUCAUACCACAUUAAUUUAUUUGUUAGUUAUCAAGAAAAUUGUCCAAAAAGUUAUAAAUCUAUUAUACGACAUUCACGUCAAUGAUUUCUAGCACUAUGAUUUUCUGGUUUCUUGUCUUUUUUUAUUUUUUGACGAGGUGGAUUUGUGAGGGAAAAAUGAAUGUUCGUUUCCGUCCCUUUAUUUUUAACUAAAACCAUAAAACUAAUUGUGAUUAGGACGGGAGGGCAUUUUUGUUAGGCACUAAAUAAAAGUAAAAUUAUUCUUCACAUUUUUUGUCAAAAUUUAUAUCACUAUGGGUAAUUGUUUAGAAAAAUAUUUCUUCUUUUAUCAAUAUUAGGUAAUUGUCUAUGAUCUUGUACAACCCAAGAGCCAAUGCAAGUGCAAUUUGUACAAUCUAAAUUUUGACAAGAUUUGGAAGUUACUACCUUUUCCAAAACCCAAUUUAGUUCGAACUACGCAUACAUCAUUUUUAUAAAGGGGCAUGCUUUUCGCACUUCUCCUUUGACUUGUACCAAUCAUUCUGCUGUGUUUUGAUCAUAUUAGCCCUUGCUUUUUCAAAUGUCAGCAUGCUCAAACGUGGUGCCCAUUGGUGUUUCUCUUUUUUAUUUGUUUGGUCUUCGUCUUCCACUUUCUCCUCCUCCUUAGUCCGCCCAAGCACAGUCCAUUUAAGUUCUUUGUAUUGUUCUACGUUCUCUUUUUUUCCCGUCUCUUUAGAAAUCUGGCAAUUCUUGCGUACCCCUAGCUUGGAUGAGAAAAAUCAUACCGAAAGUCCAUUCCAUUAUCAACGUGACUUGAAGCAUCGCUACGCCAAUCUUGCACAUCAUUAGCCGUCGGAGCCACCGAACAUUGAGUUUGCUUAUCAAUGCUGAAGCCGGAAAAGUUGCUUGAGUAAUCAUCGAUAUUGACGGAGGUGCGGAGGAUCCAGGCCAAUCAGCGAACUUGGAGGCAUCCUGGUAGUAGUGGGUGGAUGAUACGCAGGUCUUCACUGUUUGAUCAGACAAGCAGUGGACGUCGAAGAAGAAGAAGAAGCAGAGCGAGAGAGCAACAUUGUUUUUGGAGUAUUGGGAAUUGGCGCGAACGGAUUAUAAAAUUGGGAAAAGAGAGAGUGGAGAAUGGAGAUAGACUGGGCGGAUGACGAAGUGGACGGCUUGUCGUUUUGUGGGUGCACAUAUCAAAUGGAAAUGCUGAAUCUUUUUUUUUUUUUCAAUAUGAUUAAAUGGACUAAUUAAUUUAAUAAAAAUGAUUAAUUUCUUUUACCCUCCUUUCAAGCAAUGUUGGAGGGAUGCACUUGCAUCAAAAUUGAUGCAAUCAUGCAUGUGAAGGCUGAUGUCAUAUUCACAAGGAUGAUAUCACUCAUGUCCAGCAGUAUAAAUAUAAUUAUUAUGUAAUCACAUAAGAUUACGUAUAAUUGAAUAACUAUACUGAUGUAAUCUAAAUCUAUAUGUGGAUGUGAAAUGAAACUUUUAGGACAAGAUUGUUUUUACCAAUCAAACUCUUAGUGAAUGUUCGAAGUUGGCCAUCGAAUUUUCACUUAUAUUCAAAUUGAUCCUAGUACAAUGUUUUCUUUUAGGGGGUCUCUGACUCUCCAUGGUCAAGCAAUUUUAAUUGGUUUUCCCAAAGAGAGCUUACAUGGCAGCAAUUUUUUUUCCCUGAUGGAGAAUGCAAGAAAACCUUUCUUUGCAGUUAGAGGGCAACUUUUUGAGCUAUUUAGAGGUCUACAAGUAUAUGUCAUCUUCAAAGACAAUACUUACGAGUGUUGAUGCACGCUAUUUAGUAAUCCAUGAUGCAAUGGAGUCAGAACCUUUAGAAGAAAGAAUGUUACUUAAAAAAAUAAAUAAGCUGGGCAGAACUUAAACUUAUUUAUAUUUUCUAUUGUGUAUACAUUUUUUCAAUUUAACUUAAUUUACAUGUGAAAGAAAAGAGAAAAUUUGCUCUAGAAUCCAAUUUUAUGCAUUUAUUAUACCACUAAUUUCCUUACAACAUAUCUUUAGGUUAAUAUAAUCCAAGACAAAGACAUAUUUACGAUUUUGCUUUUGCAAUAUUUCCCGGGAUCACAAGCAUAAUAUUAUGACACAUUUUCUUCCUCUUAUCAAUAUUUUGACUCUUAAAUUAUUGUAUUAAUCUAAGAAGUUACAAAUAUUAUUAUUCAAACAAUCUUCGACUCUUUCUUUGAAUCACAUUUCCUUUAUUGUAGAUUACUCAUGAUUGUAAACUUGCAAAUAAAGACAUGUUCAAGUGAAGUCUGCAUCAAGUAACUAACAAACAGACCAAAAAAACCAAAAAGAGAGCUAGUGUCAUUGCUUGAGCAGUUUACUAAUCAAGUUACUAAGCUGCUAAUAAUGGUUUGCUGAAUGGGAUCACUCGCUAUGGGUUUGGCUAUCCAGCUUAGUCUGAUGAUGAAUUGAAUUUAACCGGCCCGUCCAAAAAACAAGAAAAGAAAAAUUGAAUUUCGGAAUAUUUUUUGAGCUUGACCAGGUCAAACGUCCUUCUCCGUUUACUUUAAGCAUCGUAUGCCGAACCAGGCCAACUCCGAGCAGGCAAAAACCAGAGCGAGACAGAGAGAACUUUUGCGAGAGAAGCCCCCCAAAAAACAUGGCAGCAAUCGUUGGUUCCAGCGCGUCGGCGACCCAGUACGACGUGUUCCUGAGUUCCAGAGGCCCCGACACUCGCGACACCUUCACCGACUGCCUCUACCGGGACAUGGUCGGCCAGGGGAUCGUCGCCUACAGAGACAGCGAAGAGCUUCACGCUGGUGAUCGGAUCGACGAUCUCCUGAGAGCGGUCGGCUUGUCCAAGUUCUGCGUACCGCUCUUCUCCAGUGGCAAUGCUUCGAGCGCUUGGUGCCUCCGCGAGCUCGCUCGAAUAAUGGGGCUCGACGAAGCGUAAGUAAAUGCUUAUUAAUGGACCUUUUUUCAAGCGUCAGCCGAAAUGCUAUUCUCUUAAAGUUCUUGUAAAUGGCAGUGAAAACUAGCUGGAGUGGUUCAAAAAUUCGACAGGAAAUAUAUUGGUCGAUGCGUCAUAUGCAAACCGGAUUUUGAUAUCUGAGCAGUAAAUUUCAUUUCUCACAAUAUAUAUAAUAAAACAAAAAUAAAACAGAGACAAUUCACCAAUUCUCAUACAUAAGCAGUGCCAUUAUGGCUACUGAUAGUUACAGGAGUGAAUUGGAUCUUAUUCUAGAAUGAUGUCCGUAAUCUGGACGGCAAAGAAGCAUCUUCUUUCUCAGUAAUAGGGGGAAAUUGCCGGUUUAUCUGGGACUUGAAAUAGUGAUCCAAGUCAAAUGCUAUCUGCUAGGAAGUAGUAGUGAGAUUGUUAUUUGUUUUCUUUUACUAAAAGUGUUUGGUUUGCAGCAGAACCCGUGAAGCCCUUGAGCACGAUUUGAAACAGGUUGUGCUUAAGCUGAGUGGAAACAACAGACCUCUUGGCAGCAAAUUUUUAAGUUGGGAAGUGGGUCAGACCUCUGGGGUAGACGAUAAGAGUGUCAGACGAAGGAUCACCUCAUGGCAAAAGGGUGAGAUGUUGGGAAGGGGGUCAUUUGGAGAUGUCUAUAAAGGCUUCAGCGAGUAAGAUUCCUUUGCUUUUCUCUUUGAUAAUCAGUAAGUUAUUCUUGCUAUAAGCAUUUUCUGGGGAAAAGUACAAUCAGACUUCUCCCAUUAUGAUGUUCACUUGCAGUUUUGUUGCAUUUAUGAGUGCUGCAUUCUGUGGUUGGAAUUAGGAUGACUUCUGUAUACUGUAGAACGCGUUAUCAUUUGGUUGACAUAAGGUGCCUUAAAUAGACAUGUCAAAUGGUUAUUCAAUUGCUUAAAGUGCUCGAUCUUCAUAUUUGGAUUGGAGUUCUAAGAUUAUUGGUUUUCCUUAUUGAAGACCAUUCUUGAUCAUCAAACAAAUUGAUGAAGUACAGAUCUAGUACAUUAAAUCACAUAAAUUUAGUUGUCCAUUGUUUUUCUGUACCGUUACUAGCUUGAAUAGUGAGCAAUUCUUUUGUUCUAUUUUCGAAAAAUGGAUAGCAUGAUGAAUCAGCAUGUAUUUAGAAACCAUUAUUCUAUUGUAAAUUCAAAUGUUGAAAGCUAGGGAACUAUUUUAGUUAUAUUGAUGAGAGCAUCUCUUUUUUUUUUCUUCUUUAUAUCAUCUGGAGUGCAAGAAUUAUCUAAACUAUGUCUGAUCAAGGCAUCAUUCACGAAAGAAUUGGCAUUUAUAUUCUGUCUUUCUCUCACGCUUCUCUGUUUCCACAGUGAUGGAUUCUUUUUUGCUGUAAAGGAGGUGUGUUUCUUAGAUCAAGGAAGCCACGGCUAGGAGAGCUUGUCGCAAGUAAAAGCUUUUUCUUUCUGUAAUUUGUCAACUGGUUGCUAGGCAUAUACAACCAUAAAUCUGUUGCGAGUUGAUAGAUUUUAUUUUGACUCUUUUUUUUAGUGAUGCUCUGCUUUCUUUUCAGGAAAUUUCUAUUUUAAGUCAGCUUCAACAUGAGAACAUAGUUCAAUGUUAUGGCACUAAGGAGGUGUGUUCCUUCUUUCUAAGUUGCUUUCUGCAGUAUCUUUCACUUUGGCUUCGAUUAUGAUACCACCGGAACUGAGCAAAAUGUUUAGGUGGACAUGGCUGUGAUCGCAGCCACAAGAUAGUUGUAGUUCCAUCAUCACUGCAUGAAUAAGAUCACAGCAGUUGCGGCCUUUUAGCAGUAACGGCCUAAAUGACAGACAGACAUUUUAGGUCGUCCUCCCCCCACAAGAAAAGUUUGUGAUGAAUUGACUAUCACCCGAGAUAGUAAUUAUAUGACUAAAGAACAUACACAGAGUAGAGGUCAGUUUAUGGAGUCUCCCUCUCUCUAUGAAAGCAGUUUUUUCUCUCCCAUCUAAAGAGAGCUGUCAUGUAAUCAACCCUUUCUUUUCUAGUGGUGGAUGAUAUACAAAUUAUUUAUUUUGCAAACUGAAGAUUCAGGUCAAACUCUCAGGACUAAAAAAGAGGAAUCUGAGGCUUAGAGAAAUGGCAGCCUCGGCUAAUAAAACAUAAAGGGAAAAAGGAUAGAAAAUGAAGUCAUUUAAUUCAUUAGAUAUCCUUUAAUUGACCAUCUGAUACUCACAUGACUAAAUGCCAACCUCCUUCCCUUGUCUAUAACUGGUNNNNNNNNNNNNNNNNNNNNNNNNNNNNNNNNNNNNNNNNNNNNNNNNNNNNNNNNNNNNNNNNNNNNNNNNNNNNNNNNNNNNNNNNNNNNNNNNNNNNNNNNNNNNNNNNNNNNNNNNNNNNNNNNNNNNNNNNNNNNNNNNNNNNNNNNNNNNNNNNNNNNNNNNNNNNNNNNNNNNNNNNNNNNNNNNNNNNNNNNNNNNNNNNNNNNNNNNNNNNNNNNNNNNNNNNNNNNNNNNNNNNNNNNNNNNNNNNNNNNNNNNNNNNNNNNNNNNNNNNNNNNNNNNNNNNNNNNNNNNNNNNNNNNNNNNNNNNNNNNNNNNNNNNNNNNNNNNNNNNNNNNNNNNNNNNNNNNNNNNNNNNNNNNNNNNNNNNNNNNNNNNNNNNNNNNNNNNNNNNNNNNNNNNNNNNNNNNNNNNNNNNNNNNNNNNNNNNNNNNNNNNNNNNNNNNNNNNNNNNNNNNNNNNNNNNNNNNNNNNNNNNNNNNNNNNNNNNNNNNNNNNNNNNNNNNNNNNNNNNNNNNNNNNNNNNNNNNNNNNNNNNNNNNNNNNNNNNNNNNNNNNNNNNNNNNNNNNNNNNNNNNNNNNNNNNNNNNNNNNNNNNNNNNNNNNNNNNNNNNNNNNNNNNNNNNNNNNNNNNNNNNNNNNNNNNNNNNNNNNNNNNNNNNNNNNNNNNNNNNNNNNNNNNNNNNNNNNNNNNNNNNNNNNNNNNNNNNNNNNNNNNNNNNNNNNNNNNNNNNNNNNNNNNNNNNNNNNNNNNNNNNNNNNNNNNNNNNNNNNNNNNNNNNNNNNNNNNNNNNNNNNNNNNNNNNNNNNNNNNNNNNNNNNNNNNNNNNNNNNNNNNNNNNNNNNNNNNNNNNNNNNNNNNNNNNNNNNNNNNNNNNNNNNNNNNNNNNNNNNNNNNNNNNNNNNNNNNNNNNNNNNNNNNNNNNNNNNNNNNNNNNNNNNNNNNNNNNNNNNNNNNNNNNNNNNNNNNNNNNNNNNNNNNNNNNNNNNNNNNNNNNNNNNNNNNNNNNNNNNNNNNNNNNNNNNNNNNNNNNNNNNNNNNNNNNNNNNNNNNNNNNNNNNNNNNNNNNNNNNNNNNNNNNNNNNNNNNNNNNNNNNNNNNNNNNNNNNNNNNNNNNNNNNNNNNNNNNNNNNNNNNNNNNNNNNNNNNNNNNNNNNNNNNNNNNNNNNNNNNNNNNNNNNNNNNNNNNNNNNNNNNNNNNNNNNNNNNNNNNNNNNNNNNNNNNNNNNNNNNNNNNNNNNNNNNNNNNNNNNNNNNNNNNNNNNNNNNNNNNNNNNNNNNNNNNNNNNNNNNNNNNNNNNNNNNNNNNNNNNNNNNNNNNNNNNNNNNNNNNNNNNNNNNNNNNNNNNNNNNNNNNNNNNNNNNNNNNNNNNNNNNNNNNNNNNNNNNNNNNNNNNNNNNNNNNNNNNNNNNNNNNNNNNNNNNNNNNNNNNNNNNNNNNNNNNNNNNNNNNNNNNNNNNNNNNNNNNNNNNNNNNNNNNNNNNNNNNNNNNNNNNNNNNNNNNNNNNNNNNNNNNNNNNNNNNNNNNNNNNNNNNNNNNNNNNNNNNNNNNNNNNNNNNNNNNNNNNNNNNNNNNNNNNNNNNNNNNNNNNNNNNNNNNNNNNNNNNNNNNNNNNNNNNNNNNNNNNNNNNNNNNNNNNNNNNNNNNNNNNNNNNNNNNNNNNNNNNNNNNNNNNNNNNNNNNNNNNNNNNNNNNNNNNNNNNNNNNNNNNNNNNNNNNNNNNNNNNNNNNNNNNNNNNNNNNNNNNNNNNNNNNNNNNNNNNNNNNNNNNNNNNNNNNNNNNNNNNNNNNNNNNNNNNNNNNNNNNNNNNNNNNNNNNNNNNNNNNNNNNNNNNNNNNNNNNNNNNNNNNNNNNNNNNNNNNNNNNNNNNNNNNNNNNNNNNNNNNNNNNNNNNNNNNNNNNNNNNNNNNNNNNNNNNNNNNNNNNNNNNNNNNNNNNNNNNNNNNNNNNNNNNNNNNNNNNNNNNNNNNNNNNNNNNNNNNNNNNNNNNNNNNNNNNNNNNNNNNNNNNNNNNNNNNNNNNNNNNNNNNNNNNNNNNNNNNNNNNNNNNNNNNNNNNNNNNNNNNNNNNNNNNNNNNNNNNNNNNNNNNNNNNNNNNNNNNNNNNNNNNNNNNNNNNNNNNNNNNNNNNNNNNNNNNNNNNNNNNNNNNNNNNNNNNNNNNNNNNNNNNNNNNNNNNNNNNNNNNNNNNNNNNNNNNNNNNNNNNNNNNNNNNNNNNNNNNNNNNNNNNNNNNNNNNNNNNNNNNNNNNNNNNNNNNNNNNNNNNNNNNNNNNNNNNNNNNNNNNNNNNNNNNNNNNNNNNNNNNNNNNNNNNNNNNNNNNNNNNNNNNNNNNNNNNNNNNNNNNNNNNNNNNNNNNNNNNNNNNNNNNNNNNNNNNNNNNNNNNNNNNNNNNNNNNNNNNNNNNNNNNNNNNNNNNNNNNNNNNNNNNNNNNNNNNNNNNNNNNNNNNNNNNNNNNNNNNNNNNNNNNNNNNNNNNNNNNNNNNNNNNNNNNNNNNNNNNNNNNNNNNNNNNNNNNNNNNNNNNNNNNNNNNNNNNNNNNNNNNNNNNNNNNNNNNNNNNNNNNNNNNNNNNNNNNNNNNNNNNNNNNNNNNNNNNNNNNNNNNNNNNNNNNNNNNNNNNNNNNNNNNNNNNNNNNNNNNNNNNNNNNNNNNNNNNNNNNNNNNNNNNNNNNNNNNNNNNNNNNNNNNNNNNNNNNNNNNNNNNNNNNNNNNNNNNNNNNNNNNNNNNNNNNNNNNAUAUAGGAUAUUUUAACCAGAUUCCCCACAGACAACCCUACCAAAAAGCAAAUAAAAUGAAAUGUUUAGACUCCUCUCACCUAAUAAUUUAAUCUUUUGCGUUCGGAAAUGGUUUCAGAGCCAUGUUCUGUCUUAAUUUAUUUCUGUGCGGGGCUCCUUUUCAUCAAUUCUGUGUGCACUUCUCAGACCGGUUUUCACUUGAGAGGUCUUAAGAUAUUCAACAGUGCUUAUUUAUGUGUUUUCAAAUACUUUUCAUCUCCCAUUACUUAGUAACUUAAAUUUUGGGUUGGAUAUUCUAACAUAUAUAAUUUUCUUUACUCUCUUCUAGGAUGAUAAGNNNNNNNNNNNNNNNNNNNNNNNNNNNNNNNNNNNNNNNNNNNNNNNNNNNNNNNNNNNNNNNNNNNNNNNNNNNNNNNNNNNNNNNNNNNNNNNNNNNNNNNNNNNNNNNNNNNNNNNNNNNNNNNNNNNNNNNNNNNNNNNNNNNNNNNNNNNNNNNNNNNNNNNNNNNNNNNNNNNNNNNNNNNNNNNNNNNNNNNNNNNNNNNNNNNNNNNNNNNNNNNNNNNNNNNNNNNNNNNNNNNNNNNNNNNNNNNNNNNNNNNNNNNNNNNNNNNNNNAAACGUAUAUUUUUGUUUCAUGGCUCACCCGCUUGGUGCCUUUUGAUGAUUACUUAUUUUACCUACCCAAAUAUCAUUCUGGAAAUAAGGGAGUCGUCCAAUCCUUGAACCAAUAGGUAGUGUCAUGAGAAUGAUUUUGUAGAGCAGCUUAGACAAGAUUAUCUUACUAUGUGAAUGCUUGAAGGUGGAAAUGUGAAUUUGCAAUAUUGGUAACUGUGCGGGCGAUUAUAACUGUUUGUAUAUUCUAGGCACAGCUAUGCUGAAUUCUCAUGCUUCCAGUUCCUCCAAUCUGUAGGGAUAUUAAAUGUGCUAACAUAUUGGUUGAUGCAAGAAGUUGUGUGAAACUUGCAGACUUUGGAUUGGCAAAGGUAUGUCUCAUCAGCGAAAGUGAAUUCUCUCUCUCUCUCUCUCUCUCUCUUGGGGGCUCGCACAUGUGCGAUCAUCAAAGAUGCAUGUACAGCUACAUGCGUGUGUAGGAAUUUUCACAGGCAUUGAAGUAGUGCAGCACACAUACAAUUGGAUGAGUGCAUGACAAACACACGUAUAGACAUGCACAAAGUGACAUAUAUUGUCCUUUACUUUUCUAAAAUGACAUAUCAACUUUCUGUGUUUAUUCAUACAGGUAAUCAAAAAGAAUGAUGCUAAAUCCUCCAAAGGAAGUCUUCGUUGGAUGGCACCUGAGGUUUGCACUGUCUGCUGCCAUUUUUUUUGGCAUACUUUAAUUAGUUGUGUUGCAUGGCUUUUACUUUUCUUUCAUCCUUGUUGGUUGUGAAUGCAGGUCGUCAAUCCAAAAAACAAAAGCUAUGGAUCGGCACCUGAUAUUUGGAGCCUAGGGUGCACUGUUUUAGAGAUGUUAACCCGCCGGUAUCCAUAUUCCCACUUAGAAGAAGUAUGUAAUUAAGAACCUUCAUUUCAUGUUUUAUAUCCUUGAGAUCUAUGUUUUGCCAGAAUUAUUAACUAGUCGCAACUUUUUUGUUAUUGCUACAUUUUAUGUGGGCUUGCUAAGUUAAGCGCAUGUUGUGACUAGUCAAUUCGGCCAGCAUUCUGAGAAAAAGAAAAUGAGCAGGAGCACUACGUAGAAAAGAGAGAGGACAGAGAAUUCAAUGAUAAUUAUCAAGAUUAUCGUAAUGUCAAAGGAUAUGCAUAGUAUUUAUGGCCAACAGUUGCUUGAAACUCUGGAGCAAAUGGUUAUGUAACAUGGUCUGAAGCCUCUGUUGAAUGUCUGAAUCUUGACUUUCUCAUUUAAAUUAUUUGGCAUUAUUGUCUAAUACUUUUAAUUACUAGUAUAAGUUCACAACGGCAUAAGUUUAGAUAAUCGCAUACUGACAUCUGUAUAUAGUUCCCCACCAAUAGAUAUGGGGUAUGCAUAUAACCCUAACAUUCAGGCUCAAAACUCUCUCCACCUUCUCCUUCAAUGUCACAUGGUACUUGAGCAGCCGAGAGAGAUUGAAAUCCUAAUAUUGGCAUCGCAAUCUGUGCUCCAGAGCAGCACUGACAGUGAUUGCUUCAUCUUCCCUAGUGUGUCCUUUAAUUGUGUGGUUGUCCUCUAAUCUGUCGCUCGCCACUAUCAACUUUGGUGUUUCUGCCAUUGCCCUUGAGUGUUGAUCCCUCUCUGCUCUUCUUUGGAUAAAUUGUUGACCUAAAUGGUUGUCUCCUCUGCUAGAUUUUGUCACUUUCGAUAUUAAUCGUAAAUUCUCCGUACUUGUAGUAAGGUUUCCAUCUGGGAUGGUAUUUACUGGCUCUAGCCAGCAAAUUACUUUAUGGUGUUAUCCCCUUUUUAGGCAUGACAGCAUGGAAACGCCCUUUUGUUGAUAGAAUGGCUGCUGCUGAAGUUUGGAGUGCUCUUGUCUUCCUAGUGAAUUGCGAAUGUUGCACUUCUCUCAUGCUCAUUUUGGAUUUAUUUAUUAUAAUGGAGAAAAAAAUAAUACCAUCCUACUCAAAGCCAUUGUCAAAACAUGCAACUAACACCCCCUUUUUUUUCUUUUUUAAAUUUAGGACACUAAUAAUUUUGAGCAAAAAGUAAUACAUACUUAUGCUUUAUUGGGAGCAGUUGGAAAACAUUAAUUUUGUUGGUCCUUGUGAACUGUUUACCUGUCAUCCAUGGUCUCCCACUUAAGCAAUAACUGUGAUUCUAGAACGAUUUGGUAGAUGAUUGCCUGAAGCAUGAUGCACUUAUAUUUGUCUACAUAUCUUAUUGAUUUAUGCAGCUAUCACAUGUUAGUUCCCCCAGGAUUUAUGAUUAAUACUAGCCUCUGCCAUGUUCUCUCUUAUUGUGGCAGGCACCAGCAGUGUACAAAAUUGGCCAGGGUGAACUUCCUCUAGUUCCCGAUUUUUUAUCAAGCGAUGCACGAGGCUUCAUCUUAUGUUGCUUGCAAGUAGACCCAAAUAAGCGGCCUUCUGCAGCGGAGUUGCUUGGCCAUCCCUUUGUGAGGAAUGCUUCUUCUGGUUUUGCCUUAGCUCAUUUCAACAAUGUACAGUCAUAAGGUUUUGCUAGGCCAUCCCUUUUGGUCCAUGGCUGAAGGUAAUUUUACACUUUCUGUUAUUUUGCUGUUGCAUCGCUAGUGAGAGUAUUCUUCUUUUGGGCUAAUGGCAAAAUAGCUUCAUUAAAUUACCACAUUUGUACGGUUUACUCAAUAAAUUUAUAACUUUUAAUGGUCUGCACUAAACUUUUAACUUGGAAUAAAUAGUCCGCAGUCUAUGUUCAGUUUCCCAAUUCACUUACAAACAUUUCACAUUUUACAGCUCUCUGCAUAAGCUUUAAUGUUUCCACCAGAUUGUCCUGAACCUCUUCAAAAUACUCACUUAUAGUGGUCAAUUGGUAUGCCAUGGGUUAAUUUGUCUUUACCUAGGGGAGUAGUAGGUGCAAUUAAUCAUCAAGCCAUGAAAACAACCAUAAUUGCAGUUUCCCUUUGCAUAUAUUAGAACUUGGGAAAGUUGAUGGACCUCGUGAAUGGUCUUAGACAUGAUAUUUACAAUUCCCAGAUAAACAGCACACUGUUUAAUCAUUAUGCUAGACAUUCGGAUAGGAGAAACAGAAUGCUGCAAUAUUCAGGUUUCUCUGGUUUUGAUUUUAUCAUAGGCUUUCCUCUACUUAAAUUGUUGUUAGUGCACUCGCAAUGCUGCUGCAAUUCUUUGAACCGCUCAGUGGUCAGCAGCAUGUUGAUAACCGGCAAACACUCCCAUGGCAGGGCCAAGCUUACGAUGUUAUGCUUUCUUUUUGCCAGAUGGGAAUGCCUUUGGCAGCAAUGGCCAUCUAAUAAUUCGGAGAAGAUUGUGGUACCUUGCAAAUGGUCUUGGGCUGCAACUGAUUUUAUGGCGUCUUUGUUCUGCUUGCGUUAACAUCUUGUUUAUCUGGGAAUUGUCAUGUCAUGUUGUAUAUUUCCCGUUGGAAAGAAGGGAAGGAAACAAAGAUGUUGGCGAUGACAAGUUUUCUGCUUUUACGAAGCGUAGAUAGGUGCACAGAACUUAUACAGGAUUUGUAAUCAAUUAAGAUUGGAUGCGCUUGAGAUUCGCAAUGGAAGGCGCAUUUUGUUUCCUUUUUAUUUGUUUGAUAUGGGACCAUGUUUGGUAAAUUCAAAUGUUUUUUUUUUUU
rnacentral:lncRNA from 1 species